rnacentral:lncRNA from 1 species
CUCGACAGCUCCCCCAACGGUUCGUAUUGUGCACUCAGGCUUGGCCUGUAACAUUGAGGAGGAGCGAUACUCUGAAAGGGUCUACACUAUCCGGGAAGGAGAAACGUUGGAAUUGACUUGUCUGGUCACAGGACAUCCACGUCCACAGGUGAGUCCCGAACUGUGACAUUGGAGAAAACUGUUUGACCUUUAUUGGAAGUCAAAAAGUAUAUAUUUUAGAAAGUUAGGUACAUCUAUGUGUGGGUGUAUAUGUGUGUGUGUGUGUGUAUGCAUACUUGAGUGUAACUCAAGUGCAAGUUCAUGUGCAAUACAGAAAAGAGUGGUCAUCUCUUAACGUCGAAACAAGUAUUCAUGUGCAUGAAACAAAACAAGAAAUCUUUGUUCUAUAUUGUGAGAAAUUUAGAAGACACAUCUAAGGAAGCUGUUAAAAAGACAACUACAAAAAUAACUCCACACAAUAACAAUUCACAUGGCAAUGAGCUUAUUUUAGAAUGUGGAACAUGAUUUCAUGAUGACAUAAUUGCAGCCAAGGAGGCAUUUGUUCUGAAGAAUGUGAUGCAUGAGGUCACAUGUACCUUCCUUAUUCCUAGUCAUUAUAUUCAUAGAGAACUUAAAAAAAAAUAAAUGUUUGCAGGUGCUAUGUGCAUUCAGGCUUUCAGAGUCAUCAGCUUCGGGCUUCCUAAAACCAAUUUAAUAGCAGGCACAAAAAUUGAGACCUUCAAAGGGUACUAAAAUUACCAGUAAUAUGCAAAGAAAAAACUCGCAGGAGCAAAAGAAAGGGCUAUAUAUGAUGUAAUCUAUUUAGGUUACAUAUUUAUGUAUUAUGAAGAAAUCUAAUUUGAAUAAAGAAUAUUCAGGAUGUUUUACUCAUUAAUUAACAAUUCUUAUCAUUACAGCUGUAACCUGACAAGUUGAACAUUCACAUUGACAAUCAACUAUGGCAAGGGAAAAAUUCUCAAUUAGUAAAGUUAAAAAAACAACAACAUAGCUAUAGGAGGAAAAUGAAGAACAAUGUGGGAAUUUAACAAAUCACCAUUUUAACUUUUCUUUUGCUUCUUGCAUACUCAAAUCUUAAUUUUUAAGGAUCUUUUGAUCCUAUUGUAUUGACUAUGAAAAACAAAUGAAAAAAAGCAUAUUAUUCUUCACAGAAUGAAGCAAUAGAUAGAUACAGAGAUCCACAGACAGACAAAGUCAUGGUUCAAGUGGAAAUGGUAAAAUACAUUUUAUAAAAUUAAUGCUGUUGGUAAACUGGAAAGUGGUAAAUCUAAAAAUUAUUUAAAAAAAUCAAAACUCACAAGAACUAAAAUUAUAAAUGAUAAUAUUUGCUACUAACAGAAAAUGAGUUAAAAAAUGGCAUUCUCUUAAUAAAAUUAGAUUCUACAAAACUUGACCUGAUAUAAUCAAAGUUGGUAGGAAAAAAAGAUUCAGUAAUAAAACACACAAAAGUGAAAAUUAUUAAGAUUGAUACAAAGAAAUUGAUAAGUAAAGCAAUUUUGUUUAAACAUGUAUACAGAAACAAUUGAGUCCAGUGAAAAUAGUUUUAUUAAAAUUAAGAAAAAUUAUAGAAUUAACUUAAAUAUUAGCUCAGAGAAAAUUCAGUAGUCCUAUAAUUUAUCAUUAUUUAAAAUUUGAAGACAUAAAAAUUCUAAAAGAAAAAUUUGGAAUAAAAAUAAGAAGGUCCAAAUUAAAGAAGCCACAAAGAUAACUCCCGUUAUUCCCAAUAUUCUCACACUGGAUUUGCGAAACCUGCUCCUCUAAAUCCCAAAUUUUACUUUUUUUAAAAAAAUUUAAUUUUUAGCUGUAGUUGGACACAGUCUAUUUUAUUUAUUUAUUUUUAUGUGCUGCUGAGGAUUGAACCCAGGGUCUCACACAUGCUAGGCGAGUGCUCUACCGCUGAGCCACAAUCCCAGCCCUAAAAAUUUGAUUUUUUAUCUAACUUUUCACAAGACUUUCUCUCUCUUCAUUUUUAUUCCUUCUUAAUAUCAGAAUUUUCUUAUUUUCCCUAUCCACAUUCACAAUCAGGAGUACUAUCUUUGAUCUCCAGAUGAUCCAAAAUAAGUUCUGGAACAGAAGAGUAGAUCAUUAUUUUUUUUUUCUUAUGCAUUUUCAUUUUUGGAACUAUUUCAAUGUGUUUUGAUCCUAAGAAAGAUAUAAUGCUUCAGUAUCAUUAUUUUUUUUUUCAUUCCUAGAAGUAAUUUGGUGUUUGCAGGUAAAUCCAUUUCAGCUUAUAUUGCCUGUUUGAAAAAUUAACUGGGCCUCUUCUCGGUUAACAAACUGUGUAAAAAAGGAUGACAGCACAGCUGGGGCUUGGCAUCCUGGCCCAAGACUAAAGGGCAUGCUGUUGGCAGCAGGUCCUGAGGAUGAUUUUUCCUGGCUGAUACCAUGAAGCUUUAUGACUUGCUUAUUUUUCUAAUCUGAGUGUGAUAAUACUUGGAAACACUGUACAAGGGAGAAGUUUCACCUUUCCUCAUCACAGUAUUUCUCUCUCUGUAGCCUAUUCCUAUAGCCAUGAGAGUCACAGAGAUUGUCUAGUUCUAGAACUAUUCUAUGGCAACAUUUCUUUGUAGGCUCUUUAGAUUUUUCUUUCAAAAAUAUGUUGUUUGGAUAUGGACAGUACCUGUGGGUUUGAUGUAUCUAAGGGAUAGAAGUGUAAAGUCCGUGUAAUAAAGUGGUUAAGAGCAUGAUGUUGGAAUCAGCCUACCUGCACAUAACCUUGGGUCCCCGACAACCAACAGUGUGUAUGACCUCUCUGUGCCUGUUGUCUUACCUGUAUAAUAGGAAUUCUAACUAUCUCAGAAUAAUUUUGAUGAAAAUUUAUAUUAUAAAUAUAUGUAUAUACAUGGGUAGAGUCUUAUUACAUUUGAGAAAAUAAAUUACAUUUUUGUUAUAAUUUAAAUUUUAAUUAUUUAAUCACUAGUCUGUUUGAUCAUUUUCACAUGUUUAUCAAUCAUUCUUACAUAUUUGUUUAUUGUUUUUUCAUAUUUUCUAUUUUUCCCUAGUGAGCUGAUUGUCUUUGUUUAGACUUUGAGGACUUUUAUAUACCACAUAAAUAAAUUUAAUUGCUGAUAAACAUGUUGCAAGUUUUACUUGACAGGGUGCUGUCUUUUAACAUUGGUUAUGCUAUUUUUGUUCAAGGUUUAGGUUUUACUAGUUGUCUACUAUUUAUUGAAACUUAACCCUAGUAAAUGUUUGCUUUUUGCAUAAUAAAUAGGCAAGGCCAUUUUUCAAUUUUAUAAUACAAUCACAAUGAGUGAUUUGAUUGCUAUAUAAAUAUGAUGUGGACUAGCAAGGCUUUUGUAGUCAUUAAAGUUUUUAUUCUUGUUAAUCCUCUAUACAGAUUCCAAAAUGAUAAUCUUACCAUAAUAAAAAUCUUAGCAAACCCUGAUAGCCAAUUCUUUAUUUUGAAACUAUUGGUUCUACCUGUGUAUUGUUCUUUGCAAGUAUUUUAUAUGCCUUUGUAUAUAUUUCCAUAUUAUUUUUCAGAUUCAGUCUAUUAAAAUUUCUUUAAAAAUUCUAAUAUAUUCAUAUGAAAAAUACACAUACUAGGUUUUGGGUUUAUGGCUAACUAACUCAGAAAGAAUCAGAUUCCACUAUUUAUCAGAAAUUAUCAAAUAAUAUAUGUACUUUUUAUUGUGGAUUAUGGAACUCAAUAUAGCUUACUUUUUUCAUCUGUAAUAUAUAUGUGUGAACUGGAUAUGUCUAUCAGCAUGUGAGAAAAUCUCCAACUAAACUAAAUAUAUUUUAAAAAAUUAAUAUUUAGAUAUAAUAUGGGAAGAGUUUAGGAUAAACAUUCAGAAAUUUAUUGUCUAGUAUUCCACAUCAAUUGCUUACUUUCACAAUCUCCCCUCACUGUGUGUUCACAUGCAAGCAUGCGUGCGCGUGCACACACACACCCACACACACACUCUUUCUUCUGUAGAUGAGACAGAUAUUCACUAAAUUUAUCCUAACAUGGCUAAAUGUAAUCAUCACAGCUUGUUUAGGAGAAAGCACUUAUUGUUUUUUGCUGCUUGAUAUUGUAACUUCAAAUAAUUUUGUUUCCAUUGAUUUUAGUUUAGUAUGAAGUUUUUUUAAAAAAAUCAACACAUUUAUAUACUCAAAAAAUUGUAAUGUGUUUUACUCUCAAUGCAUUAAAAUUAAUCAAGAAUUUAAAAAAUUUAAUUAAAAUACUAACAAAUACAAAGUCAUUUUUGUUUCUCAGGAGAUCUAAGCCUAUUACUCUUUUUCAAGAAUUCAUCCUUUGUUGAAUUCUGUGUAUACCCUUUGUGCCUGAAAGAGACAUCACACAUUCCAGAAAUUUUCUCAAAAAAUAUCAGCACUAUGUACUUAAUAGCAUAGUACAUAUAGAUUAUUUAAUUGAGUGCAUAUAAUGUAAAUGCUUUAUAAAUAAUAAGCAUAUUUCUGAUUAAGUUAUAGACACAAAAUAAUAACUUCUUUUGUAAACUCUGUAAUUCUAAGCUACUACUGUCUUCAGUAUACAAUUAGAGUUAACCAAUAGAGUAGAUGGAGUAUUCCUCCUUAUAAUUUUGAAGUUAGCUGGGACCAUAUGCAAAUAGAUUUAGGCUGACAAAUUGUGGGUCCAGAUUUCAGUGGUGUUUGGCCAGAAGGAUUUAAUAUGAAAGCAUUCUUAUUUGACUUGGGGUUAAUUAUUCAUGAGACUACCUGGAGUCAGUUUUAAUAUGCUGCUUUGAUAUUUUUUGACAUUCAGACAUCAUGAUGAGUUACAUUAAGUAAGGUAGAGAUACAGGAACUGCCUUCAUAAAAUAUGAAAAGUGCUCAGAAAGCUCAGAGAGGUGGGGAUGUUAACAUAAAUUUAUUAUAUAGGAGUUAUUUUUUAGCAAGUUCCCAAAGGAUAUUCACUCUGAGAAAUGCACUGACCAGAUGCACACUGGAAUCUUUUAGAAGCUCAGAGAUUACUGUUGACUACAGAAAAGAUCUGCAACAGGAAAUUCUGCCAUGGAAAUAGGAUCUUUAAAAUCAAGAUUAUAGAAUUCUAAAAUGGCAGAAUGUGGUAGUAGCACUUCACCAACAUUCUCAAUGCAUAUAUAAAUGAGCAAAAAUGUCAAAGUAGUAGCCAAAAUGCUUUUAUCAAUAGGAUUUUAUGGUAAUGGAUAAUAGAUUAUAAUGACUUUCAAAGUGAAGUUUGGGAGUAGCUGGGUAGAAUGAUGAAUGGUACUUGGAUCAUAUAAGCAGAGAAAAAUGAUACCCUGCAGAGGUUGAUGUUUUCCAACACAACAGAAAAUCAUGGCCAUUUAUCAAAUUUCAAAAUCUAAACUAGUUCAUCAGGCCAAUAUUCAUUGGUUAAAGGGGAAUCCAGGUGUAGAGGAAAGGUCUAGCAAUAUCACCAAAAUUUACACAAAAAAUAGUGACUUCUUCCCCAAAAGUUUCUGUGGUCAUUUUUCAUAGCAGUUUACAUGAAAGAAAAAUAUCAAGACUUUUGAAAAUUUUUAAGGUACAGAUUUAGUGCUAGUGUUGAAAUCAAAGGGCUUGUGGUAUUGUGUGAUUAGAACGGGAGUUUAUACAAAGCAGGUUACACAUGGAGUACUAGCCCAAAUAAGGUGUCCCACGGUUAUUUAUCCCAGACUCUCAGUCCUGAUAGGGAUGGACAUACUGAGCAAUUGGCAGGAUCCUUACAUUAGUUUAUUUGACCUUUGGAAUAAUUCAUAAUCUUUCUGGUAGGAAAUACCAAGUAGAAUUCCAUAGAAUUAUACAUCCCAAACAAAUAUAUUAAAUCAUUAGUGAUGCUACAUCAUAGGGAAAUACCAGAUUAUAUGCUACCAUCAAAGACUUGACAGUGAAGAGUUAAUAGUCUUUAUCAUAUACCAUUUUAUAUGUGAGAUACCUAAAAAGUCAAUUGGGUCAUGACAUGUGAUGGUAAACUAUGGUAGACCACUGGACCAAACAGCUGGACCAGAUAUGAUAACUUCACUGAAACCAAGCAGCAUGCCUCUAUUCCUCCCUGGUAUCCUACUAAUAUUUGGAAAAAAUGUGUGCUUUUCAAUUAUAAUCAAGAAAGGAAAUUAAAAUAUUGCUUUUAUGUAGGACAGAUAGUAAUAUAUAUGUGUGAGUCUGUCCUAAUCAAUUUAACUCUCAUUCUCUGUAAUUUUAAAAUGCACAGAGAAUUUUAUUAUCUUGGUAAUUAUUUUAGUUGGGUUUUCAUUAGUGUGACAAAAUACCCAACAAGAACAACUUAGAAAAGGGAAAGUUUAUUUGGGGCUCAUGGUUUCUGAGGUCUCAUUCCAUAGAAGGCCAACUCUAUUGCUUUGGCCACCACAUCAUGGAGGAAAGGUCCAGUGGAGGAAAGCUACUUAGCUCAUGGUGGGGUCAGAAAGCAGGAAAGAAGAGGGGAAGAGGUCAUAGAGAAGAUGCACAGUUCCAGGGAAUGCCCCCACUGACCCACCUUCUCCAAAGUUACCACCUUGUCAGUCCAUUCAAACUAGGAUGGACUGAUUAGGUUACAGUUAUCAUAAUGUAAUUUUUUUACCUGUAUUAGUAGGAACUUCUGGGGGACACCUCACAUCCACACCAUUACAAUAAUAUGCAGAACACUGUACUUGUCUAUGAUAUUUAUAAAAUCAUGGCACGUUUUAACUUGUGAACAGGAAUUAGUAUGUGCUUUGGAUGUCUCAGUAAGAUAUGUGGAUGCCAGAGAGUGAUAGAAGUUGAUGCUCUUCGUAAGCCCUACCACUGUGGAUUAGAUCCAGCAUAAUAUAGGCCUUUUUGGAUUCUAGAGGCUGCCUAUACUACAUUUAAAAUAUUCUUCCAAGGCACUCAGCCAAUUAACUGUAAAGGAUGUCAGUUUCCAGUGUAGCUCAGAGGAAGAGAGGACUUUUCAGCAAGGCCAGGUCUGAGUACCAACUUCCUUGCUGCUCAGGCAAUAUGAUCUAUCAUAUUUGAUGUUGAAUAUGGAUGCUCUAUGGAUUCUUUGUUCAAUCCUAUGAGGAGAAUCACAGCACAGAAGCACAGCACAUUUUUGAAGUGAUACUGAACUUUCUAAGCAGAGCACUAAUUACUGUUUAAAAAACAGCUCUUUAGUAAACAGAGAGUAGGAUCCAGUUGCUAUAUAUUCCUUUUGUUCCAUGAUCAGGUAGUUCUGGGACACAUUCUACAUGACUUCUCAAUGGGUUUCAGUAGAAUGGAGCCCCAUUCACUCUUAGCAAUGACCAACGCUUAUAUUAGUCUUUCUUCCUCCCCUGUGUUCCUGUUCCCAGUCCCCUGCUUUGUUUCUCUGGGAUUAGUUCCCAAAAUAAACUUUCUACUUGCAAUGUCUUGACUUAAUUUCCUUUUCUGAGGCAGGAUAAAAGUGUAUCUGGAUCCAUACUUAAUAAGGAGUGUAGCUAUGUACCUGACCUUAGUGUCUUCCUUACUGCACAUCUUGUCCUCUUUAGCUGUGAUCCUAAAUUAUUGUACUAAUAUUUUUUCCUUUACACUUUGUAAAGGAGAGCCACAAAUUGUUAGCCAAAUUUUGCUUUAAUUUCUUGACUUUUACCUUACAUAAUUAUCAAGAGUAUAUGUCUUAGUCCAUUUGGAUAUUAAAACAAAAUACCAUAAGCUGGGAGGUUUAUAAACAACAUGUGUUUAUUCCUUCCAGUUCUGGAGGCUAACAAGUCCAAGAGCAAGGUGCCUGCAUAUCUGAUAUACUAUGGGUGGUCUCUAAUCUCACAUAGUGGAAGCAGCAAACAAGCCCUCUGGGGUCUCAUUUUAUAACAGCACUAAUCCCAUUCACAAGGACACAACCCUCCUGACCUAAUUAUUCAAAGUUCCCAUCCAUUACACUGUCACCAUGGGGUUUAGGAUUUCAAGGUAUGCUUUUGGGAAGGACAUAAAUAUUCAGAGUCUUGCAAGAUAGUCUAUGGAUUUCCAAUUUUUCCCCUCAGCUCUUAAAAAUAUGUCUUUACUUGAAUUAAAUCUAAGUACUGAAAGGUUACAACUUUGUGCAUAAGGAAUUUUGUGAGAUAGGGAUUUAUGAUAUAAAUUAUGGACUCAGGAUUUGUUUGGGUGUGACAACUUUGCCUCUUACAAUCUUGCAGAAUUGCAUCUUUUUAGAGAUCACAAAAUGGGUGUCAAAAUAGAAAAUCAAAAUAAUUAGAAAUACAAAUUGAAUGGAGUUUUGAAAUUAGAUGCCUCCUUCAAAAUCUAUAAUUUUAGUGAAAUAUAUUGUUGGUAUGAGUAAUAAGAUCAUAACCAUGGUUUUGCCAAAGUAGUUGACAUAAAAUAAAUGACUAAAGAUUAUCUUGGUCUUUGAAGAAGAAGAAAAUACUGCCUAUCAAUAUAUAAUUAAGAUACUCUUGAUUGUACACUUCAUAGCUAUAGAUGAUUAAUUUAUUAAUUCUUUAAUGGAGAUGUUCUGAAGGAUUACAUAGGCAUUGAUUAAUUGUAUUUUGUAUCUUUACUAUUAGAACAAUACUCUAAUAGUAAAAUACUAAAAUACUCUGACAUAAUUAAAAUAUAUUUACUUAACUGGGUAGAUUGCUAAAAGUAGACAUCCAAAAGCAUAAUUUUGUCCUUACAUUUUUAAUCUUUUUUUGCUUAGUAGUUAUUGAGCUGUCAACAAAACCUUAAUAUAUCAAUCCUAACAAAGCCUGAAGUGAAUUUUUUAAUGAUGGAACAUCAAGUUAAUUGGUAAAUUUUUAUGAUUCUGAUGUUAUAUGUAUGUUCUCAGUGUGUGUGUGUAUGUUUGUGAGUGUGUCUGUGUGUGUGUGUGUGUGUGUGUGUGUGAGAGAGAGAGAGAGAGAGACUAUGUGUGAGUCCAGAAAUCAGCAAUUGUAAAUGAUUUUUUAUGGUUAAAUCCAUUUCUAAAAACUAGCAAUAUGAAUAUAGUAGUGGUCUAUUUAAAUCAACUUUAUCAUUUUCACUUGUGGUUUAGUACAUUAAAUGUGUCAAUUAAAACAAUUAUAUUUACUUGAAAUUUCAAAUCCCAUAAUGUAAUGGAACAACCCUUGGAAUGACUUUAAAAUAUAAUGAUGUGAAAUUUAGGUUUAACAGUUUCUUACAAUUAUAGACAAUCCUAUCUGUUCACUUACAUGCUCAAGAAUGUGCUGCCAGUGUAAUUAAUAAUCUAUAACUGUACUGGUUGUAAACAUGACACAUUUAUUUUAAAUUAGUCUUAUCACAGCUUUUCUUGAAAUGUUCAGAGAUGCUUCAAACAAAAUCAAUCAGAAAUAAAAAUCUUUCUAUGAUCUGAAAAAGUUAACUUAUGCUCCAUAAUGGAUAUGCGAGUAUUUUCAGGACUGAAAAAUGAUAAAACAGUUAUUAAGGAUGAUUCUAUCAAUUCAGUUUUAGAAAUUCUUAAUCUUCUGAUCUAAGUGCCAAAAUCUUGACAAAAAACUAAAAAUAACAUUUAUUUACCUGACAGUUUUAUCUUUUUCCAUCAGCAAACAUUGAUUUCUUUCCUUUUCUGCUUCUUAUGGUACAUGAGAAAACGUUAUCCUGUACAACUUGGACCCUUUUUUACUUAACUUGCCUAUGGCAAAAAUCAUUAAAUGAUUUGGAUAGGUUUGAGCAGGGCAAAAUCCUAGUUAAUUAGUGCCUUCUCUGUUGGGUGUCAUAAAAUUCUAUAUUCCUUAACUUGUAGGCAUUCAGUUUUGCAAUACUAUAGCAAAUAAGAGUGAUCUUUUGCAUUGACAACAUGUAGAAGCAGAGCAACUGAUCUUUUUGGAUAACUCUCUGCAGAGUUAUAGCCAGUUGAGCUUACAGAUUAUUUUUGAGUUUUUUGAAAUAGCACAGAAGAAUUUAUUUGUUACUAUGUAAAUAUAAACAUAUUUCAUCAUGUAUAAAAUCUUCAUCAGCCAACAUGCAAUACUAGUCUGUCUUGUUCUUUAAUUAAAAAAUCAUAUAAUUACCUAAAUUACAUCAUUGCAUACACAUUAGUUUUCUAGGACUUCUUUAAGAAAGUGUCUCAAAUGAGAUAGUUUAAAGCAACAGAAAUUUAUUCUCUCACAAUUUGGAUGCUAAAAUCCCCAAAUCAGAGGGUCUGGAGAGCCAUUCUCUCCUCUGAGAUUCUGGGUAGAAGCCUUCCUUGCCUCUUGCUACCUUAGGGUGGUAGCUUCCAGUUCUUGGUGCUCUUUGGCUUCCUGCUGCAUGACCCCAGCCUCCACCUCUAUCUUCACAUAUUCGUUGUCUUCACUUAGUGUUUUCCUUGUGUAAGACACCAGUUGUAUUGGAUUAUGGAUUCACCAUACCCCAGUAUUCUCAUCUUAACUAAUUACAACACUCUUUUUCCAAAUGUCAACCCAAAUAAUAAUCAGAGAUUCUCCCAAGAAUAAUAAUAUUCACUAUGGAACAGGAGACCAUUACAAUGGGAAUAUGUGUGCUAUUGUAAGCUAUGGUUGUAUCCAAAGAUUAUAUAAGGUAAGGAAGAGUUUUUAAAGGUGGCAUGAGAAUUGCAUAAGGUAUUUUGAGGCAAUGAUCCUCUGCUACAAAGAUUUAUAAGAAGGGUGGUGUCAGUCCAAGAUUAAGCAAACAUUUUUUUGCACAGAUGUCAUUGCAGAAAUCUGUUUUGUGAAAGGUUGAAGUGGUCUUUUGCAAGGUCAUGGUUCUGGCAGUCUUCCAUGAAUAGUCCUUGCUAUCAAGCAUGUAUACACAAGAUCCAUUCCCCCGCCUUUAUAGCCUUCUAGCUAGAAUUUCUUCCUUCCUUCAUUUAUUUUUCAUUAGGGCUUGAAAAAAGUGACUCCAUUUUGAUUCUGAGAGCUUUUGGGGAUUAGGAUUUCAAAGUAUUUGGAGGGGAACAUAAUCCAAUCCAUGACUCAUAUCAUUUGUUCUUUUAAAUUAAAUUAUUUCAUAGCCUUUACUCUGGGAUUACCAUUAAAGACUGUUGUACAACCUGGCAACUCUAGUUAAUAAUAAUGACUUGAAAAUUGAUGAAAGAGGAUAUCUUGAACAUGCUCACAACAAAAAAAAGUGUGCAAAGUCAUGGAUAUGUUAACUUGCUUGAUUUAACCAUUUCAAAAUAUACACAUACAUCAAAACAUCACAUUGAAUACAUGAGUAUAUAUGAUUUUAUUAUUUAUUAUUACUUUAAUAAAGGUAAUAAAUGAAAUAUUAUCCAUGUAAUGAUUGUUGUGCCUCAUUAAUCUUGAAAGAAGUGGCAGUACUUUUUCCUACCAAUUUUAUAUUUCUUUGUCCCUUCUAAUUGUUUCCACCUCUUCCUCUUGGAUCAGUGAGUGAAUAAACAGCUUGUCACUGCCUCUAAAAGCCUUGAUUGGUCAGACAGGCUUACUUAAGUGCCCCUUAUUUGUGGUCCCAGAAUAACUGGCCAUUUCCCUACCAUAAUAUAUCACAGUAUGUUGCUUUAGAGAGUAAGUAAGAUUGUGAGCUCUGGAGUCAAACUGCAGAGUUUCAAAUUCCACCUCUUCCAUUUUCUAACCCUGUGAAUUUGGGUAAUUUAUUUAACAUCCCUUUUACUUUUUUCUAUCAUGUACAAAACAAGCCUAGUAAUAGUAAUUAUGGGUCAAAUAAUAUUAUGCAAAAAAAGACAUAUUAAAACAAUAAUGGUUUUAACCAAGUAAUAGAAUAUUCAUAUUUUUAAAAAUGUCUUGCCUCUCUCUGAGAGCUGCAUACACCCAGAAAGCAAGGACUGAAUUUUGCAUUCCCAUUUUCUAUCACAUUAAUGUGCCUGAGAGGGUGACUUGCCUGAGGCUGUCCUUGUUUGUGGUGGUGGUUCUGCUGUACUUGUUAAUACUGUCCUCUCUCUAGGGCAAAAGUGUCCUGCUCUGGAGGAAAAAUAUAUGGGAUCCUAAACAUGAAAGCUUCACAUAUAGAGGGUCUCAAUUGUUUAUUCAGUGAGUGAAUGUGACAGCCAUUAUUACUUUAAGUAAUUGUUCAGUAAUCUGAUUAUGUUGCUUUUAAAAAGUGCUAAAUUUUAUUUGCCUCUGUCCAUGCCAUUUACCUCUCAGCACUGAGCAUUUAAAGACACCUUGGGAUUCACUUGUGUUUCUGAGGCACUGUUGGAAACUGUAUACCUCUAUGCCUGUAGGAAUGCAUUAAAUGUUCCCUUGAUGGCCUAGGAGACUUAAUGCAUCUUCCUAUUUUACUAUUCAGCUAGGACUUAAAGACACUUAGGAAAUAGGAUCCAGAAAUAUGAAUCCAUCAAAGCCCUUCAGUUAGAGAGAAUUCUAACUUUAAACACUCCACAAUACUUUUUUUAAAAAAGAGAGAAUUUUUUUUAAUAUUUAUUUUUUUAGUUUUUGGUGGACACAACAUCUUUAUUUUAUUUUUAUUGGUGCUGAGGAUCAAACCCAGCACCCCGUGCAUGCCAGGCGAGAGUGCUGCCGCUUGAGCCACAUCCCCAGCCCCAAGAUACUUUUGAAAAUAGUAUACUUUCCAGUGUAGACAGAACACUGAAACAUUGGGCUCUCAAGGGACUGUAGCAAGUUCACAUUGUAUCAGACAAAAGCAUGGAGAUGCAUUGCUUAUAGCAAAUUACAAAAUCCUGAUCCUCUGUUUAAACAAUGUUGAGAUAAUGGAAAUCUGGUUUUCAUCAGGAAAGUUAAAAAAAAGUAUAUCAUAGGAAGUAGAAUGGAACUAGACAAAGUAUACAUUAAGACAUAUUUGACUUCAUAUCAACAAGUAGGCAUGGUUCAUUUUGUGAAGACGUGGCCUCCAGAUGCUCAUCUGACACAAAGCCAAAAGCUCAAGCAUAGUUAGUUCCUUCACAAGAGCAGGGUAUGUGGAUGCCUGGGUGAUCUGUAGGUGAUUUGUUCUAUGAAGUAUUAAUUUUUCCUCAUUUGUCUUUCAAUCCCCUGAUGGUGAAUGUUUAUUAACAAAAUUGGUAAAUGUUCCAAUGAUAUCCUCUAAUUUCAAGCUUAUUAGUCUGAUAAUUACUAAGCAUUCUAGCCCAGCUCUAGAGUACUUUGAUCUGCUCAUGGAUUCCAGUGAAAGUUCCACAUAUAUUCUUUUUUUUUUUUUUAGAUAUACACAUAUACUAAGUCUACAACUCCCCUCACAGCCAUUUAGAUUCUCUCCUCUGUCCUUCACCAAGCACAAUAAGUCAUUCACUUGAUUUGUGACUAUGGAAGGUUGGCUGCUUAAUCUAACACCCCAAACAACAACAAACAGUAACAAAAAACCAACAGUGAAAACCAACAUUUUUAUUGAGUUUUGUAAUUUCAUUAUGAAUCUUUAUGUAUGUGAUCAUGGUUCAUGCUUAAAACUCCUUGAAUAAAUUGAUGCAUUUAAUAGUGAACCCUUAUGUCUUGUGAUAAUCAGCACUACACUGGGAAAAGAGAAACCAUUUUGAUUAUUUAAAACUCUGACUUUAAAACAGAUGGAUUUAAUGUAGGUAAGGAGUUUUACUGGGGAUAGAAGCAGUGAAGGAGACAGAGAAAUGCUUGACUCUUCCUUUUAUUUUGUCACUUAAUUAUAUUCAUCUCUCCCAUUGGUUUCAACCAGUGAGAGCCUGAGAAAAGUUACACAGGGCUUUAGCUUCUCCCUAUAACACAGAAGCAAAGAGGAAGGUUUAAAAACAUAAUUUUGUGAGCAAAAUAGGCCACAGUACCCCUCAUAGCCAGUCAACAAGGUACCACCUGGGGAAUGCUGGCUCACUUUUUAGGCAGUUAUGCACAGAGGUACAUUUACCUUAGUAAAUAAGGACAUUUCCAGGUCUAAUUCUAAUUUUUGCAGGCUCAUAAACCUGGUUUUGUUAGUAUAAUGAAAGUAGAUUAGGAUGGGUUGCAUUUUCCUAUCUCAUAAAGGCUAAUAUACAUACAAACAAUCCACAAAAUCAGGUUGGGUAUUUAUAAUGAGAAAUUCAACUGUAGAUAUAGCAGAUUUUUCCACUUGUAAAUCUAUGUAGGCAAGCUACAAAUAAAGCUAAGUUAUAAUCAAAAUGCCAAUAUUUAAACUCAUACUGGCAAAUAGAUUGGACAUUGCUCUGGUCUAACAUGAUCACUCUCCCAGUAGGAAAGCCAACCAAGAACUCAAAUAGAAAUCAGGUUGAUGAGCAAGGACUUUGAACUGAGAUACCUGAAGGCCAUCUCACCAAUUAUGGGAUAGUUAACCAUAAGGUUUGAGUUCAAUAGUAAAGAUUUCCUCUCUUAGACAGUUCCCAAAUGGAUACUAUUUGCCAGUUUGUCCUCUUAGAAACUUGUUUUUAUGUUUCCCAGGCUGACCAAUUCCUAUUUUGAUUGACACACUCUUCCUUUAGCUGUGUUAAUAUUAAUACAGUCCCUCAUAUUAUAGCUAUGUCCCAGAUAUGUUAAUGUUUUAGUUUCAUUAAACUGACUUUGCACGUAUCUAUACUGAGUUGUACUUAAUUAAUAUUAACUUCCCUCUCUGAGAACAUUCUUAUUUACUAUAUUCCUGAAUUCUUUGGGAGGGUUGCAUCUUAUUAUAUUUUAUUAGAAAGAUAAAAUCCUGAUGAAUCUUUGAUUAUAUUUUUUCUACCUCUAUAUUAUCACAAAUUUACAGAUUUGAUUAUUGUCACCAAUCAUAGGCAUAAACCAUGCAACUAUCUGUAGGAUAAUUCUAUUCUGUUGCUACUUUUUUUUCUUCUUCUUUCUUGUGGUGUUGGGGAUUGAACACAGAACCUUAAGUAUUCUAGGCAGGUGCCUUAUCCCUGAACUACACUCCUACCCAUCUUCCUAUUUCUUUUUAAAAUUACUAUAAAAAAGGAAAGCUGGUGGUUAAUUUAAAUUAUUAAUUUGCUGAUGAUUAAUUUUAAAAAUAGCACUGGAGGAAGAUUAGCUUCUUUAGUUUCCAUAUAUAAGUAAGGACAUGUGGGAUAUGCCUGUGACUGGCUUAUUUCACUUAAUAUUCUGCCCUUCUAAUUCCAUCAGUGUUGCCACAAAUGACAAGAUUUCCCUCUAUUUGUAUGGCUGAAUAAUAUUCAAUUGUGUAUGUGUAUAUGUGUGUGUGUGUGUAUAUAUAUAUAUAUAUAUAUAUAUAUAUAUAUAUAUAUAUAUAUAUAUAUUUCAUUAUCCAUCCACUCAUCAAUGAAUACCUUGUUUGAUUCCACAUUUUGACUAUUGAAAAUAGUGCUGCAAUAAACAUGAGAGUGCAGGUAUCUCUUUGAUACAUUGAUUUCAUUUCCUUUGGAUACAUUCCCAGGAGUGAGAAUGCUAAAUCAUGGGUUGUUCUAAUUUUAAUAUGUUGAGGAACCUCCAUACUGCUUUUUAUAAAGGCAAUCCUAACUUACAUUCCCACCCACAGUGUAUAAUAGUUUGAUAGUUGCUAGGAAAAGGAGAAGAAAUAGAGGUUUCUUAAUGGGUACAAAGGAGAAGAAACAGAGGUUUCUUAAUGGGUACAAAAUACAGUAAUAAGAAAUCAGGGCUUGUGUUUUAUAGCAUAGUAGGGUGACUGUAGUUUGCAACAAUUUAUUAUAUAUUUCAAAAUACCUAGAAGAGAGGAGUUUCAAUAUUCUUAACACAAAUACUGAUUAUCCUGAUUUGAUCAUUACACAUUUUAUUGGUGUAUUAAAUCAUCACACUGUGCCCCAUAAAUACAUACAAUUACUAUGUCAACUAAAAAUAAAUUUUAAAAAUUAUUAAAAAUUUAAAAAUAACACAGAAAGAAGGGUUAUUGGGUUUUCUUAAAACACAAAAAACCAAAAGACAAAACUUAAAAGACAAAAAAAAUUACCUGAUAAUGAGGUUUUAGAGUGUGACAAUGACUUAUGCCUAGUAUUAAAAAGAUUUACUUAUGGUAUAACACACAAUUGUUUCCCUCUUUAGAAUUUUAAUUACAUUUUAUGUGGUUGUUUUUUUAAUUUACAUCAAAAGUAAGAAAAGGAUAUUCAUGUAAUGUUUAUUCUUAACUUCAUGCAGAGGCAUGGAAAAUAUGUAUUAACAUCAUGUUCUAGGUGCUGUAUGCAAAACACAUGCAAAAUGUCCAAUCCACCAACAAACUACUAAAAUUUAAAAUUUUACUGCACUGAAUAAAAAAAGAAAAAUUAGAGUCAAGUAAAGCAUCUAUCAGAAUAGUAUGCCUGUACUUAUGCUAUCCCUUUCCAAAUUCUACUCCUUUCCACUGUUUUUGGGAAAUGGAGGACUGAUUUAAAUUAUGUUCACUCCUACUGAUUUUUACACUUAUCCACCAAAUUAUUGCCCCUUUUCAGUAUCUUUUUGUCUUCUACUUUCUUUUUGUCUCCUAAACUCCACAUCCAUUCCCUUCCUCUGUUAUCACACCUAUACAUUUAAAAUGAUUGCUCAAUAUUUACCCAAGAUUAAUAGUCAUUAAACAAAGUAGUGUAAAAAAGACCUCUGAUAUGUGAUUAUUUUAACACAAAAAGGAUUUUUCAGGUGUACAUUUGAAUAUUUAAUUUUUCCUUUCUUUCCAUUCUUAAUAUUCACAUGCAUCUUACCUUAUGUAAAGAUGGCAGCUUGUAUAGGGCAGAAUAUCUGUUUGAAGUUGUGGGCACUCAACUUCCAUCAGUGACUGCUAAAACCAUUAGGUGAAAUAGGUUGAGGGGUUCCAAAGUGGAUGUAUCAAUAGGCAAUACCUAGAGCCUUUGGUAAAUCUUAACUUGGCUAAGAAUGCUACAACCAGAUAUCAGGUGUCUCCUGAUAAGCACUAACACUAGAAUGUAAUCUGUGAAUUGUCUAGGCUCCGUUCCCAAAUAAAUUUAAAAAAUGAAACUAGAUACAAUAAAGCUUCUAGAACUAACUAGCAAUUUCAGGAAACUCUGGUUAAAGAAACAUGUUAAACUCAGCAUGGUGACAUAUGCCCAUAAUCCUAGUGUCUUGGGAGGAUUGCAGUUUUGAAGCCAGCCUCACCAACUUAGUGAGGCCAUAAGCAACUUAGCAAAACCAUUUCUCAAAAAAGGCUGGGGAUGUGGCUCAGUGGUUAAGUGCCAUUAGAUUCAGUCAUGAGGGAAGGAAGGAAGGAUAUGAAAGGAGGGGAGGGGGGGAGAGGAGAGAAGAGAAAAUGAAAAGAAAAGUAAAGAAAUAAAAGAAACACCACAUUAAAUGUCACCAGGAUACAAUCACUUAAAUAAGUAAUAUAGGGAAAUCUAGGACCAUUACCUAAUAGGUAACAUGAGAUGGCAAGGGAAAUGUUAUAGACUAAGAUAUUUAAGGGUCACAUAAUACUUUUGCAAUGGAUAGAUAUUUCCUAAUUUCUGAUUGGAGAGAAGAUUACUUAAAAUGUAUUUUGAGAUAAUUGAGAAAUCUUGAACACAGCCCGGUCAAUUUAUAAUAUCUUAACGAUAUUUUUGUUAAUUUUACCAGGUAUAAAAAGUGGUAUUAUGAUUGUGAACAUUUUGAAAACAGUGUUUACCUGUCGGAGAUACAUAUUGGAGUAUGUGCAGACGAUAUGACAUGUUGUUUGGAGUUUAAGACACUGCAGAAAAACAACAAAAAAAAUAUAUUCUAAUAAGUAAGAGAGAGGGUGGAGAUCUAUGUAGAGCAAAAUAUUAAAUGUUGAAACUGUGUGGUAUGUAUCCAAGGGGUUAAUAAACCAUUCUCUUCUGUGUAGCUUAAAACAUCCAGGAUAAUGUGAUAAACAUUAAAAAUUAAUAUGGAAUAAGCUCUGGAACACAGAUGAGCAGGUCCUUGAGUCUCCAGAGUCCUGCACAAUAGAGCUGGAUAGUUGGAGUUUUAGUCUGGAAAAAAUUUAAGGCAGAUAAAGCUAAAUAUCUAGAAAGUGUUAUUUUAGUCUCAGUAAAACAACUGUAAGAACUUUAAGUUUGAAUAUAGAAUCUCUCUAUUAAUUUCAUCAUGAAUUAUAUAAUAUUUAAUGAACUAUAUUCAAGAAUUAACUUACUUUUUUAUUUUGAUGACUACAUAGAUGAAUGUGUGAAAUCAUCAUUUUAAAAAAUUAAAACUUUAGGUUUAGACUAAUAUUCAGUAGUCAUCGUCUUUCUCUCUCUCUCUCUCUCUCUCUCUCUCUCUAACAAGUAAUUAAAUACCAGUGGGGCUGGAGAUAUACCUCAGUGUUAGGGUGGGGUCUUAGCACGUGGUAGGCCCCAGUGAAAUUAUGUGUGCAUGUGCGCAUGCGCGCACACACACACACAUAAAUAAAUAAGUAAAAAGCAACUCAGUUCUCAGUUUAGCUAUUGUGAAUUGUGCUUCUAUAAAUAUUGAUGUGGCUGUGUUCUUGUAGUAUGGUGUUUUUCUGUCCUUUGAAUAUAGACUGAGGAAUGGGAUAGCUGGGUCAAAUGAUGGUUCCAUUCCCAGUUUUCCAAGGAAUCUCCAUACUGCUUUCCUAUUGGCUGUACCAAUUUGCAGUCCCACAAGCAAUAUAUGAGUGUGCCUUUCUCCCCAUAUCCUCACCAACACUUAUUGUUAUUUGUAUUCUUAAUAGCUGCCAUUCUGACUGGAGUGAGAUGAAAUCUUACAUAGUUUUGAUUUGCAUUUCUCUAAUUGCUAGAGAUAUUGAACAUUUUUUUAUAUAUUUGUUGAUCGACUAUAAAUCAUCUUCUGAGAAGUGUCUGUCCAGUUCCUUGGCCUAUUUAUUGAUUGGGUUAUUUAUUUUUUGGUGUUAAAAUUUUUGAGUUCUUUAUAUAUCCUAGAGAUUAGUGCUCUGUCUGAUGUGUGAGGGGUAAAGAUUUGCUCCUAACAUGUAGGCUUUCUAUUCACCUGUUUCUAUUGCUGAGAAUAAACUUUUUAGUUUGAAUCCAUCCCUUUUAUUGAUUCUUGAUUUUAUUCUUGUGUUAUAGGAGUCUUAUUAAGGAAGUUGUUGCCUAAUCCAACAUGAUGGAGAGUUGGGCCUACUUUUUCUUCUAUUAGGUGCAGGGUCUCUGGUUUAAUUCCUAGGUCCUUGAUCCAUUUUGAGUUUUGUGCAUGGUGAGACAUAGGGGUUUAAUUUCAUUUUGUUGCAUAUAGAUUUCUAGUUUUUCCAGCACCAUUUAUUGAAGAGACUAUCUUUUCUCCAAAGUAUGUUUUUGGUGCCUUUGUCUAAUAUAAGAUAACUGUGGUUAUGUGGUUUUUGUCUCUGUGUACUAUGAUGAGGACACAGCCACAUCGAUGUUUAUAGCAGCACAACUCACAAUAGCAAAACUGUGGAACCAACUUAGAUGCCCUUCAGUUGAUGAAUGGAUAACAAAAAUAUGGCAUAUAUACACAAUGGAAUACUAUUCAGCAUUAAAAGAGAAUAAAAUCAUGGCAUUUUCAGGUAAAUGGAUGGAGUUGGAGAACAUAAUCCUAAGUGAAGUUAUCCAAUCCCCAAAAAACAAUGCCAAAUAUUUUCUCUGAUAUAAGAAUGCUGAUUCAUAAUCAGGUUGGGGGUGGGGAGCAUGGGUGGAUUAGACAAAUUCUAGAUAGAGCAAAGGAGAGGGAGGGGAUGGGAAGGGGAUUGGGGGUAGGAAAGAGGGUGGAAUGAGAUGGACAUCGUUACCCUUCACAUAUAUGAAGACAUGAAUUGUGUGACUCUAAUUUGUGUACCACUAGAGAGAUGAAAAAUUGUGCUCUAUAUGUGUAAUAUGAAUUUUAAUGCAUUCUACUGUCAUACAUAACAAAUUAGAAUAAAAAAUCUAGAUUACAAAAAAUAAACAAACCAAAAUAAAGUGUAACUAAAAAAAAAAAAAAAGCAACCCAGGACCAACUGUCCAGUAAAGCCACAUCCAGGGGGCACUAAACACCAUAUCAUCUGAAUUUUUAUAAAAGAGAAAGUGUGUGUGUGUCUUUGUAUCCUAGACUUAAGUGCUAAAAUUUAAAAAGAAAUAUAAAGUAAUAAGAAAAACAUGUAAUUCUUUUUUUCUUAAAUAAAUAGGAAACCUUUUUGAUGAUGACAUUCUAAUGCCAUAAAGACUAAUGUACUUAAAUACAUUAGUUAAUAACAAUCAAAAGUAAAUCUAGAGAAAAUUAUAAACAAAUGUAAAGCUGAAAAGAAAAUACAACAUUUUUACAACUCAAAUCCAUGGCAAAGAGAACAACAUAAAUUUUAAACUUUAGUAAUUUAGAUAAAUACAUCCAAUAAAUGCAAUACUGUGUGGUAUUUUAGUUGGCUUGUUCUCUGCUGCAACCAAAAGACAUUACAAGAAAAAUUAGAGGAGGAAAAAGUUUAUUUGGCACUUAGAGUUUCAGAGGUCUCAGUCCACAGAUGUCCAACUCAAUUGCUAUUGGCCCCAGGUAAGGCAGAACAUCAUGUAGAAGAGUGUAGCGGAGGGAAGUGGCUCAGAACAUUGUACCAGGGAGCAGAGAAUGCUCCACUUGCCAGGGACAAAGUAUAUAUAACAAAGGCACACCUCCAAUGACCCACCACCCACCUCUCCUUGCCUUCAGUUAUCUCUCAGUUACUCCCUAUCAGGGGAUUAAUUCACUAAUUGGGUAAAAACUCAUAAACCAAUCAUUUCACCUCUAAACCUUUUUGCAUUGUCUCACACACGAGCUUUUGAGGACAUCUCAUAUCUGAACCAUAACAUGUGGUUAUUAAAAGGAAUAAAGCCUUGCUAUAUAUUCUGAUGUCAAACUGUCCUAAAGAUAUAUUGUUAAAUUACAGGGUGGAAUGGCAAAGCUAUUUGAAAAACAGUGCUAACAUUUGUUUGAAAACUUCAUGGAAUAUCCCUGAAAGAACAUACAAAAAGAUAGUAAAUAACAUGUGCUCUUUUAGGCAGAAACACUGGGAGACAGAGGGCAGGGGAGGAAUGAUACUUAUUUCCGUCACAGCCACAGGUUCAAGCACCAUAGAAUAUUUUUCCCAUCAAAAAUAUUCAGAAAUAGGCAGGUGUGGUGGCAUACUCCUGUAAUGCCAAUGGCUAGGGAGACUAAGACAGGAGGAUCAUGAGUUCAAAGCCAGCCUCAGCAAUAGCAAGGUGCUAAGCAACACAGUGAGACCCUGUCUCUAAAUAAAAUUAAAAAAUAGGUCUGGAAAUGUGGCUCAGUGGUCAGGUUCAAUCCUUGGUACAAAAAAAAAAAAAAAUCAGCAAUAGAAAUUGUAUCUGUACUCAACAGAUAUAGGCAAUCUUUUUUCCUUGUUGUUAUUUCCUAAACAAAAGUAAAAACUAUUUUAUAUAACAUGUACAUUAUAUUAAAUGAAGCAUUUAAGUAAUCCAGAAAUUAUUUAAAAUGUAAAAGAAGCUGUGCAUGAAUAAUAUGCAAAUAUUAUGCAAUUUUAUAUAACACAUUUGAGUAUCCAUAAAUACUGUUAUCCAAAGAGGUCUGGAACAAGUUUCUCUCAAAUACAAAGGGAUGAUUGUAUUGAUGGUUCCAUACUUCAAAGUAGAAUAGUAUUCCUAAGGGGAUGGUGAGUACUAAAAAACAUAAAAAGGACCUCAUUCUAAUCUGACUUUCUUCAGUAAGCUUCAGUACCUAUUGUAGAUCUUUACUGAAUCAUAAUUUUGGACCCACUUUGAGAUCUCUCCAGAGAUCCUAUGGGCCUGGAAAAUCUGAAUCUGUGGCUCAAUUUGUCAAAUUGUCAGGGAAGUUGGUCUCCUUGAGCACACAUGGCACCUCCAGGGGGCAGUGUUCCUGAGAGACACAGCCAGCUUCAAAGUCUGUUCUGGUCUCAUUAAAAUACUGUGCAAGAAUAACAAUAUUUUAAUUACCUCUAUUUUACAUAUUAAAUUUGAUCCCUUUUGUGAUAGCUACCUAUCUGAUUUUCCUUUUCAUUCUUUUAGCCAUAUAGACUUUAAACCUCAGAAGUAUUUUUCUCCUUUUUCAAUUCUUUUCUCUUCUCUAUCCCUAGGUGGGCAAAUUUUCCCUUCUGCUGGCUGCUGCCUGGAAUUCCUUUGCCCUUCUUUGGUUUCCCCUUCAUUUAACUCUGGGACAACUUCUGUUCACUUUAUCACACAGCAGCAUCAUUAUAAAGAAAUCACUUACUUGGUGGGGGGUGUCAUAGUUAUCAGAAUUUCCUGGAAACUGGAGGGAGGCAGAGAAUAGGACUGUCAGUAUGCUCAAGGCUAAGUCCUGUUACUAAGACAUUCAAGAGUGGUACAUGAACAAUUUAGCCUUCUUGAGCUUUUAAUUCAUCUUCAUUCAACUCCCACUGUGUUUCUUGAUCUUCUCAUUUUGGUUGGAGAAACAUUUCAUGGUUUUGGCACAUAGAUUCAAGUGACCUAUGUACUUUUCCCCAAAUGAUCCAUUCAACUUCUGUUAAUGAGUAUGAACCCUAUUUUACUUUCCAUGAAUAUUGUGAUUAAGUAACUUUUUUUUUCAGUCCUGUUCUGGUCAAUAUUGUCCAAUCAAAGGCAGAGAAAUUAGGCAAUGUGUAUAUGUAUUUAAUAAUUGUUGGCUUGUUUACCCAACAUGUAUUUAUUUAUGGAGUAUCUACUACUAAAGGGCUAGUCAAAACAAGAUGAUAAAAAUGAUCUGUGAGUGUAGUUAAUUAUUUCUCUCUUGAAAAAUAUAAAUCUGUCCUGUUCUUUGUUUAUCCUAAUUGCAUACAUUUUCAUUAUUUAUCCUCUAGGAGAGUGUCUUAGGUCAGGUACUCUGGUAACUGUUUUGGAGCUGAGGAUUGGCAUGCUAGAGAUUGCUUAUGGAAGAGUUCAUAUGAUACUGAAAAGGGAAGGUGAGAAGGCAGGCAGAGCAGGGAAGAAGUAAAACAGGGUGUGAUCCCAGACUGAGGUCCUUAGAGGAUGACUUCAGCCUGAACCUUGAGGAGAAAUUUGAAGUCUAAGUAGUAAUUCAUAGCCUUCCUGUCCUGUGGGACCUUCUGUCCACUGCACUGUCAAUCAGGGUCAAGCCCUGCUCCUGGAGAAGAGAAUCUAAGGCUGGCAGGGGUACAGUGAGGGUAUUUUAGUCUUGGAGCUUUCUCUGACCUUACACCCCACACAUAGCAACUUAGACCCACUAAAUAAAUAUUUGUUGGAUAAAUGAAUGGAGAUUAGACUGGGGAACUAAUAACAAAGAGGCUUAGGUCCUGGUCAUAAGAAGACGUUGGAGGGUGUGAUCAAACCUAUGAGCAAUAGCAACUAUUUUCUGUUGGAGUUCAGAGAAUGAAAAAAAAAAUGAGUAUUUUAGACCAAGCUGAACAGACACAUUGGCCACAUGCAAUUUCUCUUUUUACUAUUUUUUUAAAGAAAAAAUAUAAAAUUCAAAAAAGUACUUAAAUUUGAGAAAAAAAAAAUAGAAUUUCAUCAUGAGCUACUGUCCCUUUUUACUUAGAAUAAUAAAAAUAUUGAAUUUUUAUAUAGGUUGUUUAUUCUAUUAACCAACAUACAUCCAUCAACGUUUGUUAACUUAUUUAAUAUAUGAAUAUAUUAAUUCACUACUGUCUGGUGUCUAUUAUUAUGGAUUUUAGACUUAUAUAUAAGGUAAUUAUGUGAUUAUUUCCCUUCUUGAUAGAUUAUCUAGAGAGAUCACAGGCCAACAGAUAUGUGAUUUUUUUACCACAUAUUUUAGUCCUCUGUUCUUAAAAAUAUCAAAGUAUAGCAGGAAAAAAUAUUAGACAUACAGUCAAUAUGUACCUGUGCCGCAGUCUGGCUGGGCAUAAAUCACGAGCCACUCAAGCAGGAACAAACUUUAUUUCUGAACUCCACCAACACACUCCACACAAGCUCCUGGGAACUCCCCCAAACGCCACCCAUGCCGCUCCUCCAGGCACUACCAACCGGAAAUCCCUCCUCCGGCACUUCCCCAACCAGUGCGAACUCUCCAGGAGUCCUGAGAGAACUCCGAAGUAGCAGGAGAACUCCAAAGUAGCGGGCUGAGGCGAACAAUAAAGGUCUAAUAUACAAUUGAAUCAAUCCAGCAUCAUCUUAAUGGCUCGCCUCUCAACCAAUACUAUUGGCAAAAUGCCAGGGGCCAUUCCCACUCGGCUGUGGCUCUCAGCAUACCUGAUUGGUGUUUUUGAUCUGUUACCAAAUGGUGAUAAAGUUGUGAUUGAUUUAUGUAUCACAUCUAUGACUUAGUUUCCUUAUCCAUCUAAGUAGUCAUUUUAUCUCAUUAAGAUUACUACUCAUAAUUAAGAAACAUGGAGUAUGAAGUAUUUUAAUGUAUAAUGGAGUAUAAUGUAUUUUAAUACAGAAUACAAUAGUCAGUGCUUGAUUAUUUUUAACUGAGAGUAAUGUUUGGAGGACACUUCUGAGAGACUCAUCUGGCUCUCUCAAACCAAACCACAUUAGAGACACUACUUGUAUGUCUACAGCUGCCUUGACUGUGGCACUCACCAGCUACCUUACUGUUAGUUCUGCUCACUUAACCCAACAAAGCCACAGUUGGGGAGAUUAUCUAGUCAAAUCUAAUUUUUCAUAUGGGAAAAUGAUGUAGUGAGUGUAAUCAGUGUGUCAGAGGACACACAGUUGGAGCAGAGACAAAUAGGAACUGUGUGUUAACUCUUAGGUUUUGGCUUUUAUCCUACACAGGCUGCUCUUAUGAAGAAGUGGACUAUUUCUAUGCUGUAGGAUAAGAUGGUCAGGCCCUUGUCUGCCUCAAUUCAAUGUAUUAAACUUUAACAAAAUUAAACAAGACAUUCUAGGUUUAAAAAUGAUGUUGGAAAUGAAGAUUCCCCUAAUACAAAAGGCAUUCCUAUGAAGGCUAUAGUUUGCAAUACUAUUGAAUUUUUUUUCUUUUCUGCCAUUUUCCUAAAAUUAUAUUAUUAGAAAAAGCACUUAUGGUAUACUUGACACUUGCUUAGGUCUAGAUUAAAAUUCUGCAUAAUAAUUAUAACACAUUUUCUUCAGCAUUUCCAAAUUAGAAGGCACAAACAUUUUGAUUAUAUAAAGGAAUAUUGAUAUUGUUAAAUGUUUACACUACCAAUACCUUCAUUCAACAUGUACACUCCUUCAGCUGAGCUUAACCUACAGCUAGUGAUAGCAUAGUAUUCACAAUAUCGAUCUGGAAACAUUACAAAACUGAUGGUAUGCUAAAAUUGCUGGAUAUGGUUCUGUGUGAGACUACCCCUUCUGAAAAAGGAGGAGAGGAAUUCGUAUUAAAUUCAUAUUAAAUUAAAUAUUAAAAUAACGUGAUUUCCAAAUGGACAAAGGAUCCAAACAGAUAUUUCUCUAGAGAAGAUAUACAAAUGGGCAACAAGCACGGGGAAUAUAUACUCAACAUGUUUAGUAAUUAGGAAUUUACUAAAUGCAAAUCAAAACUAAAAUGAGAUACUGCUCCAAAGCUAUUAUAAGGCUAAAAGCAAAAAGAGAGGCAAUAACAAUUGUUGGUGAAGAUAAGGAGAAAAUGGAGCGUCAGACAUAUGCAAGUGGGAAUACAAAACGGUACACUUACCUUGGGAAAUAGUUUGAUAGUUCCUCAAAAUCCAAAACUAGAAUUUCCAUAUGACUCAGUUAUUUCACUCUGUAGUAUACAUUAAAAAAAAAUGAAAAUAUACUUUCACACAAAAACUGAUACACACAAAUGCUUAUGCAACAAUGCUCAUGAUCAUCCAAAUGUGGAUGGGCCACAUAUCCAUCAACUUAAAAUGGAUAAAUAAAAUGUAGCAUAUACAUACAAUGGAAUAUUAUUCAGCAAUAAAAAAUAAAUGAAAUAACAAUACAUACUACAGUAAGGAUGAACCUUGACACAUUAUUGUAAGUGAAGAAACCAAUCAUAAAGACCACAUUUUUUUGUAAUUUGACUUAUAUUCAGUGUCUAGAAUAGACAAAUCCACACAGACAGAAAGUAGACUGGUCAGGACUGGUGCAUGGGGACAGGGACAAUAAGGGGAUAAGAUAAGUAACAACUAAUGGUCAAAAGGUUUCUUUUAGAGGAAUCCAAAAUGUCCUAAAAUUUGGUUUCAGUGACAGUUGUUCAUCAAUCAUGUGAAUAUAUUAAACAUUGAAUUUUAAACUCUAAAUCUGUGAAUUGUAUCUCAGUGAAGUUGUUUUAAAAACUAAAACCCACACAUAUGUGUGAUCUCUGUAAAAAUUUCCCUAAUUCCUCAGUUUGAGCUAAUUACCCAUUCUUCUCUUUGCUAGUAUAUAUAGUUAUGUUAACAUUAAAAUUCUUCAUUGUAUGUCUUUACCACUAAACUAUAAUUUCUCAAGGUCAGAGACUAAUUAUGAAUUAUUUAUAUUUUUGUAAGUCUAGUAUUCCUUGUGUUUAGGAAGCAUGUACCUUCACGUAACCUUCUAUGAUUAUCUAAAAAUUUAAUACUACGAAAAGCACUUAUGGGAAGGAAAACUUCCUCCCUAAAUAUAAAAUGCUAUGAUAAAUAUGUUUUUUUAAACUAUAAAAUGCUAUGUAAAAUAUAUAUUUUUUUCAACGAAGGACAGGUUUUGCCCUGAACAUGUAGCUCACAAAGGUAAGUUCCAACAGCAGACAAUCCAGAAAGUGACAAAAUGUACUGGCUCUUUAAUAUGAGUUGAUAAAGGACAAUUGGAUCAGGCUCAUUUUACUUCUCUUCUCAUUAUAUAGAUCUUGUAAAUAAGAGAAUCUCCAUGAUUAUCAUAUUCUCUAUUGAAGCACAAUUAAUUGGCAGUCUUUUCCUUGCCUCAUGUUCUUGAGUGAAAGAGUUACAAUGAACCCUCAAAUCCUAUGAUGGAAAUAUUCUAUAGAUUUAUUAAAAUAUUUUGUUGCCCUCUUAGCUCCAUUAUUAAUACUCAAAUGUAAUUUGACACGAGUUUGAAGUUUUAAGCUUUAAGUCACAAUUAUAAAUUGGUUUUAUAUUUAAAAUUAUGCUUAAGGAAAUUGAAAAGUCCCAUUCCUUUGUGAUUUGGAAGAUAUUUUUAAAAUCAAACUCUUUCUCAGGCAAAAUUUUAUUGAAAUCCCAAUAUAUAAAUCAUAUAAAACAGAAUUUCUCUCCUCAUUAGGAAUUAAGAAAAGGGGUCAAAACACCCAAAUUCUAGCUACCUUAGUCCCUGGAGGCAUCUCCAAAGAUUGCUUAAAGCUCCUUAGGGUGAAAGUCAUUGUUUUAGUUGAGUAGAAAGUAGGUCUACACAGUCCCUUGUACCUGAAGAAUUAUUUUUCAUAGUAACCAAUUACUUUGAGCUAAUCUAAUCUAAUGCCAUUAGCUACCUGAUUAGCAAAUAGUAACAACUCAGCCUCUAUCUCUGUCUCUCUCUUUCUCUCACAAACACCACACACUCACUCACACACACACACACACACACACACACACACACACAGUGUUUUAUAGAAUAUUUUAAUAGAAAGUCCUAAUAGUUUAACUCAGCGGUCACACAACAACGUGAUGAAAACAGCUAUUGAAUGAACUAUGUGCAAUUUACAAUCAGUGCCAAGUUUUGCAAAGAGUUCACUUGGAAAAAAAAAAGGAAAAAUUUGAGGCCAUUUCCAUAGUAAAAUUUUUCAGUUCUCUUUGUUUGAUUUCAUUAAAAGUACACACUGGAGUAAUAGAGAAAGGAGUGGAAUAACAGGUAGCAUGAUGAUUGCUUGUAAUGCUGGGCUUGCCCUUGAGAGGCAAACAGGGUGAGGUGAACCCAUUCUGGAAGGGAGGAGAACCUUCCCUUACCUUUCUCCUUUGAGGACUCAUCUUCCCUCCAUUUUCUUCUUGCUCCCAUCUCAAUCUCCAUUUCUGUCCUUUGUUGUGGAGUCACAUACUUGGGUACCUUAUUGUCCCUGUCCCCAUGCCACUAGUCCUGACUUACCCUGUGACCUGAAUCUUUCACUUCAGCCUCCUCAGUCAUGCCAGGAAGGUCUUCUGAUGCCUCCCUCCAUAGUUUGUGUGACCACUAAAUGUGAAGGUCCUUGGGAAGCUCUGAGCUGCGGACAUCUUAGGCAGGGCUCAAUGAAUAUUAACAGUUGAACUUUUAAUUAGUUGUCUCCUUUUCCUCUCUUCCCUUUAUUUCUUAAGUUUCAUCUUAAUAUUUAAUGUGUUAUAUUUUUUACUGAAGUAAGAAAUAUUGAGCCAAUUUUGAGGAUUUUCAAGGUUUUUGCUUGAGUGUACUUUAAAUGAAAUAAGAGCUUAUGAAGGAAAAACAAAAAAGCAUGGCUACUCAUGAAUAUCUAAAGUAUAAAACUGGGGUCCAUAAAACAGCAAACUGCAAAUAUUUAAAUUAAUAAAGACUUCCCAAAUCCUGCAAUUUAGCAAGGAUGAUGUCCUUGAUUAAAAUAGUUUUUAUAGGAGUCGAUCACUUAUUAUUGAGAAAUAAAAUUAUUUUAUCAAUCUAAGGCAAAAUAAGAAACUAAUAUUUGACUUUUGGGGGAUCAUUUAUACACAUUUUGUUUUGGUUUGGGGGUCUCACUGAGUUGCCUAGGCUGGCAUCAAACUCAUAAUCCUCUUACCUCAGCCUCUAGAGUAGCUGGGAUUACAUAUAUAUGCUGCCACACCUGAUUUUAAAAAGCAAAAUUUUAUUAAAAUUUAAAGUUAUUUAUAGUUUUUAAAAGUUGUUCCAGUUUAUUUUUUUUUAACAUUUUUGAAGUUGCCAUACUUUAAGGGAAACAAUAAUCCUUCCCUUAAGAGAUUUAUUCAAGAUUAGCAAUCUGUAGCCAGCCCCAGAAAUGGGUUGGGAAUUCUGACCUUCAUCAUCCUUGUUAUUAUUUUAUGACUCUUUCCAGGGCAGCAUUCCCAGGACCUGUUCAAAUCAUAGUCGUUGUAUUUUUCCAGGUUCUAAUUGUACUCAUUUCUCAUCCUCUGCUGCUGAGCGGCCUUUGGUACAAGGGCCUGGAACCUGAUUUAGGCUUGAAAAACUUCAUCUGUAUCUGAAUCUUUUUUGAAAAACACAAACUUUGAAAUAGUCAACUAAUGGGCACACAACUUCCUUCCUGUACUUUGUAGGUAUUUUCUUUUCAAAAUUAAUGAUGGGGGCAACAGGGUAGAUUCACAUUUGUGACUUUUCAAUUCAGUGUGUUUAAAAGAUUAAAAAAUAAAAGGAAGGAAGGAAUUGAGAGGUGAAGCUAUUGCUAGUUUUAGAGCAGUGUGUAUUCAAAGGGAGGGACAGCAAAGCCUUUCUGGCAAGAGACCCUUAAGGGUAGAGAUGCCAAGAUUGAGAAAUAUCCGAAGAUCCCUCCCUCUUGGUGAGGUUCUGAAACCUUGCACUCAACACAGCAUAUGACUUUCCGACUAAAGUUAGGGCUCCUACACAGGAAAAAUGCAGCCAAAUAAGACAUCAGAGUCUUAUUUGUCUCCCUUUUAUACGGAGACAGCUUCUAGGGACAGCUUUAAUUCUGCCAAGUUCUGAUUUUAUCUACAAGAUUACUGCAAAGGAAAUCCUGUGAGCAAAUAAAUUUCCAUGAUUUUGAAAAUCAAAUCAAGAAAUUUAUCUUCCUCAAGUCUUUCUGUUAUUUUGGACGUAUAUUUACACACAUACACACUCACACUCACCUACAACAUGCACACACUUUUAAGUUCACUGUGUCCCAAGCAUAAUUUAAAAACUGUUUGCAGUUUUCUUUAAAUGAUGAUCAUACCUCUGAAAAUUAUUUAAGUAGUUUGUUGGUUUUUUUUUAAUGUCCAUAUUUUGUCCUGAAAACACCAUGAAAGAACUUCAUGAUAUCUCACUUCUCAUUCCAGGGCACCUUAUCAGUUGAACCAUAUACAAACCAAAAACAGAUGUAAAAUGGUACUAUCAUUCCUUUUCCCUGUUAACAUCAAUCUAUAGAUUUUGAAUACAUUUGACAUUUUUUACUUUAUAUUUUAUGGAUCUGUUGAGACAGCAACCCAAACUCCUUUUUCUCUGACUUUCCAAAUGGAAUAUGCCCCUCUGACUAACAUGAAUAUACAUGCUUCCCUUCUCAAUCAUGCCACUUAAUAUGACUGGCAUUCUAUACUUUAUGGAAUCACUUUGUGUUUUAGGCAAAGUCAGGUAAAAAUCAGGAUUGCAUAUACAUGCAAAAGAAAAAUUCUGGUACUCUGGAAAAUGAGUAGAAAAAAAUUGCAUUACUUUGUUUUUUUAAGAGCACAAACAACUUCACUAUAGUGUUUAAGUGUCUAGCAUUGCUUAAUGGAAAAAUCCACGGUACAGUUCAAACUAAAUGAAAUAAUGAUGUAAGUUAUGGUGCUCCUUCAAACAGCAUCUUAAGUAGAUACUUAUGCUCUUUUCAGUUCAACCCCACAGCAGCCAGGCAGCCUCAGAGCUUGUUAUGGACUUUCAUAUUCCUUUAAUGGAAAUGGCCCCUUGCUGUGCUUUCACUUUUCCAACUGUGGCAAUAAUAGUUAGUAAUCAAGCCAUUCACAAUUUUUUAAAAAAUUAAAGAUCUUGACUAGGAGUGGGACAAUGAAAAGCACUAACCACAGAGGAAAAAAAGAUUUUGACAAGCAGUAGGACAAUGAAAAACACUAACCACAGACAGUGAAAAGCACUAACCACAAUGAAAAGCAUUAACCACAGAGGAAUGGCUGGAGCUUCAUUAGAAGGUAAAACAGAGAUUGAGAGUGCAUUGCCUAUGAAAACUUUUUUUAAAGGUACCCUUUUUAGACCAUGUCACAGAGGACAAUUUUACUGUGUUCCAAAGAAUGUGUUUUAAAAAAUAAAUGCAAAACUGCAGUUGGCCCAAUACUUUUUAGCCUACGUGAAAUAAAGAAUUAUGCAUUCUAAUAGUUUUGCUUACUUAAUCACUUUUUGCUUACUACUUUGUAAUGAUAUCUUCUAAAAUGACAUGUUCAUUCGCCAAAGACUUGGCACCAUAAAAACUGAUGAAAUUUUCAGUGAUGUUGAGUGAGUAUAUUAUAGAUCCCAGAAGUACAAAUACAGGAGAGGUUUCAGAAAUAGCACCUCUCUACUCCUCAAAAUUACUGCAGUUAUUAAAUUAUUCUAUGAAAACACCUUGGCUGAAAGAGCCUGCUUUUUGAUUUCCUUCAUGGUUUCAGGAAAUGCUAAUAGAGGUAAAUUUUGAGGAAUAAAAAGUGAUUUGAAUAUGAUCACUUUAGUUAAACCUAUUACAACAGGGCACAUGACUUUGAAAGCUCAUGGCCCUCUACCCAGGCAGGCUGGUGUGGUCACAAGCUGGUACUAAUUGGGGUGUUUGAUCAGGGUUGAAUUGUUAUUUUUCUUCUUGAAAGAGAAAAGGAGAUAUCAUGACAAUGACAAAUGGUAAAAAUCAGGAUGAGGGGAAGAGUUAGUUUUGUCAUCUUAUUAUAAAAAUGGCUGACAGUGUUGGCUUUUAAAUGAAUAUUUACUAAGGCCUAUCACCUUUAGAUAAUUGCAAGGCAAACUUGAUGUUUUUAUUAUUCAGAUGUGAUCACUGCAAUGAAAUGACAUCUGACAGUUGGACUAAGAAAGUCUAAUACUGUAAAGGUGUUAGUGCUCUCUAGAUUGUAUGAAAGUACAACAGUCAGAAUCACAAAAUAAAGAUCAUCAUCAGUUAUCCUACCCUCUAGUGUUCAAUGAUCACCUCCCUGAAACACAGUAGUAUGUUGAAAUCUUUCUAAUUCAAAUAAUGACCUUUCCGCCAAAAGUGAAUAUAUAUCUAUGUGUGUAUAUCACAUUUUUUUCUAAGAGGAGCUUGAAAAAUAUUAAUCUCUACUAUAUCUUGCAUACUUUUCUUCAGUGAUUAUUUCAAUGAGACCACAAAACAAAACAACAACAACAAAACUCAUGAAAUUUGAAACAACAUGCUUACAUAAGUCAACAUUCUUGAGAUUGUUAUGAUGUGGAAACGUUAAGGAGAAGUUUCAUAUUUAUUGGGCCAGCUAUGUAGUGCCAGGUGUCUGUGCUUGAACUUCUAGAACUUAAAGCAAUAGCAUCAGACAAGCAGGAACACACCAGGAUGGUGCAAUCAGGGACAUUAAUGUGGAAGGAAUGAUCCUGGUGAAUUUGCCUUGUCAGGAUCUGCCCCCAGAGCCUGGGAAGUGAUAGAACUCAAACUUUUGAAUAAACUUGGGAGGCCAACUUGUGCUGACAAAAUCUAUCAGGAUUUUGUAAGUUUACAAAUAGAAUUAUUAUUUACUAAUUCAUGAUGAGAAAUGUGAUUGUCAAGGAAGGUAUCUUUUUUUUCUAGAAAGCUAUAAGGAAAGUUAAAUUUGAAUAAAGAGAAGUACCUAUAUGAUUCAAUAUAUAAUGGCUUUAGGCUUUCAAAGUCUUUUCUGUUCAUAUCCAUGAGACUGAAGUCUAAGAGACCAAGACCUGUCAGGCCAAAUAUUGGGACAUUUGUGGAUUCUCUCUUUUUUGAUCUGUGUUUGAAAGGGGACUGCAGCCUGUGUCCUUUGGCUCCACAUGGCUCAAAAAUUUCCCUGUUGAUCUUCUUUCCUUUAGAUUCAGAACCUAGGUAGUAUUGUGGAAAUAAAUCAUAGGGCAAGGGAUUAAAAAUACUAGAAUUUGCAUUUGAGCUUAUUUCUACCAUUUUUUCUCUUUUAGGUAUUUUAUAAUGUACAUAAUACUUAAUGAUAUCAAGUAGAACAUGGUGCAGAUUAAGUUUCAGUCCCUGAUGUAAGGACUUUACACAAUUUGGUGCUUAGCCUGUGACAAACUGCAAACGAAACCAAAGUUAGUAAUGUUAGUUGUGCAGAGUGGAAGAACUAAGACCCAAAUCUAGGUUGUCUGGCUCCAGAUUCCAUGCUUCUAACUCUUGUAUGCUUCCUGGGUCCCAAGGCAUAAGUGUAAUUUACAGAUGAAGUGUACUAAGUGUAAUUUACAGAUGAAUGACUAACAUACAUUAGUGAACAAUAUUUAUUGAUAUGACCAUACAGGUGGAUCCAUUUGUCAGCCUUGGACUGUUCUUUCAGAUUUGAGAUUCUUUUGCACAUCUUCAGUUUUCCGUGCUCUGAUCUGUUUUUUGUGUACUGUUGUAUAGUUGAAAUGCCCCUAAUUAAAGCUCCCUUUGUAUACCCAUGCUGUGUGUGUCACAUUCUGGAAGUUUGUUACAUCACCUUUAAUAAUCUUAAAACGACUCAAGCAAUAUUUAGUGUCAACAGAAGUCGUGUUUCUUACCUCAAAACUAAUUCAGAGUCCAAUGAAUUCUAUACUCCCCUUGUUUAAUGUGCAAAGAAAGAUUCUCUGUAAGUGUAUGCAGAAUAGUACAGCCCUUCUUACAUUGCUGCUUUAGUUUAUUCUCAUUAAUCUCCAUCAUGCAGGUGGGCUCAUAAGACAAGGAGGCCUCAUUUAAAGAGAGGUUAGUUUCUUUCUUCUGAAUGUGGUGAGCACCCAGAUGUUUAAACAUACACAACAGACUGAGAGUAAUUCAGAAAACAGCAUCAAGUGUGAGGAGGAAAAAACUCUUGAAGUGAGAUUUCUUCCUAAAGGUAUUUUUGCUGCUGCUCUUAGCAUCUUGAUAAUAAAAAUAAUUGGGCUAUUUUAGUUCUAGUCUUCAUACUUGUGUAAUGUAGCACUAUGACUUAGGCCAUCUGUUUUAACAUCUUAUGAUAUAUCAUUCUUUGCUGUUUUUAGAUAAAUGAAUGUUUCAAACAGCAGUCCAUGGAACUUAAUUCUUAUUUCCUUAUUGUAUCACUUUCUUUUUUUCAUAUUGAAGUCUUCUGGAUAUUCCAGAUGUAAUUUUACAUUCUAUUCUUAACCAUGUGUUGGAGAUGGAAAGGGGAUAGUUGGUGAGAUAGAAAUUAUGUAGUUGUAAAAGAUUUUUAGCUAAAUAUCAAUUUCUCCAUUUCCAUUUGACUUUCUAUUUUGUUUUGGAUCCAAAGUUCAGAAUUUAAAAAAGCUUAAAGAUCAUUAUAUUGGGGAGGCAUAAUAAGGCUUGUUUUAAAUAAGAUUUUUUAUAAUAUGCUGAUUGAUUUGUCCUUUUAGCUAUGUUUUUCCAAGCACUCUGAACCCUCUUAAAUCUUUGCAGCUUUCAUUGACAUUGCUAUGUGAUAUGACAUUGAAGUAAUUUUCUUUUGCUCAACUUUUAUGCCAUUCUUGUCCAUGUUAUUAGCUCUGUGGGCUAGAAUGCUGACAACUUUAAAUAGCCCAAUGGUUGUCAUAGUAACUAAUAUUAACACUAUAUAUAAACUAUCCUUGGAUUUCACAUUUAAAUUAUUACUGGUAUUCUUUAGUAACUCUCUGGACUGAACAGAGGACUUUGUGCAUGAUGGGCCUUGAAGAUUUAGGUUUGGUUGGGAAAUUGAUUCAUUGGCAUCUAAUUCCAGUCACAGUUUUUGAUUUGUUAAGACCUAGUCCAGUUCCAUUGAAUGUAUGUUCAUAGAACCCAAGAAGGAUGCUUGUCUAAAUAUCAUGGGGGCUGAAAAAACAAAGUUUUACUUUUAAAGGUUAUAUUUAUUCACUGUGGGUAUUUUCCAUGAUGUUUAUUUUUCUCCUUUUCUCUGCAAUGUUUUCUAUAAUGUUUCUAAAAUUGUUAAAAUUAUACCCUGAGUGCUGAGAAUAGAAAAGACACAUUAUACGAAGCUUUUAAGAGAGAUGACACUAGACACAGACUGUAAACCACUCUGUUUUGGGUGACUUUUGUUCCUCUAGCCAGGGGCUUAGUAAAGAUUCUACCUCCUGCUUAGUGCCUGGCUACCCUCUUUUACUUCUCUUGUAUGACUCUUUUUUUCCCAAAAAAAUACAUUCACUGCAUUAAGCAUACAGAAUUUGUUUCUUAGAAUGAGAAAUGGGUAUAUAUAAUAAAAGAAAAAAAGAAUCUGGGUGUGGUGGCACAUUCCUGUAAUUCCAGCAACUUGAGGCUAAGAGAGGACAAUUGCAAUUUUGAGGCCAACCUCAGCAACUUAACAAGAUCCUGUCUAAAAGGAAAAAUUAAAAAUGCUAGGGAUGUGCCUCAGUGGUAGAUGCCUCUGUUUCAAUCCCCAGUACUGGAAAAAUAAAAGAAAAUAAAAUUUAAAUUCUCCCUCAUCUCACAUAUAAAAGCCAUAUUGCAUUAAAGAAUUCACUGCUCUCAUAUGAACUUUGUAAAGGUAGGUCACCUUUCUACAGAUCCUUACUUUUGGGCCAUGCUCUCCUUUCCUCUUUCUCCCCUCAAAUCACUGUUUUUCUAGCUAACACCAUUCAAGGCUGGGUGAAUAUGCUUAACCCCCUUGGUUUCUGCAGUUACAUAGUUAUUUUCUGUCUGGGCUCCCUAUUUACCACUGCUUCAAGAAGAAAGAAUACUCUAUUAGUUGAAGCAACCUAUAUGCUUCAUAUGUAUGCAGUAUUCUUGAAGUUGGAUCAUUUGUCAAAGACACUUCUGUAAUAACUUGAUGGUGACACUGAGUCCUCUUCCUCUCCCCACAGUUCUUAAAAUAGUCCCUUUUCUGUUUUGAAUAUACAGUUUCCUGGUUGGCUCAUGGGUUUCUCUCUAUUCUCCAAGAUUCCUUGUUUAUUAAAAUUCACUUUCUUUUCCUGGAGUGGUGGUACACACCUGUAAUCCCAGUGGCUCCUGAGGCUGAGGCAGGAGAAUCUUGAGUUCAAAGCCAGCCUCAGCAAUGGCAAGAAACUGAGUAAAUAAGUGAGAUCCUGUCUCUAAAUUAAAUACAAAAUAGGGCUGGGGAUGUGGCUCAGUGGUUGAGUGCCCCUGAGUUCAAUUCCUGGUACCCCCCACCCCUCAAAAUUCACUUUCCUAUUAUUUCAGUCCUCUGUCUCAUCAGAUCCUUAUCUUCUAAAUCUACUUUCUUUCUCCUUUUAAUAACAGUGUCUAGCAGGGUGUUAAACAAAUACCAAUGCAAUCUUGUAUUCUGAGGGUUGUUAAAUUUCAUCACAAGGGAAAAGUGACUUGGAUUCAAAUAUGACUUAGCCUGGGUUCAGCAAAACAAAACAGGUUUCUGCAUCAAAGAAAAUCAUGGGUAUAUUGUAUACCAAUGAUGAGCACUGUGAGUCUCUUAAGGGGAAAAGCCAAAACAACAUUUCUCAAACCUCUGUACCUUGUAAAUAUUUUAGGAUUUUCAUUUAUGGGAUUGGUUGUUCUGGUUUGCUUUGCUGUUUUUAUUUUAUCUUUUAAUUUUUUUUAAGCUGUGACCUUUCUUUAAACAAGGGUAUGCAUAGAAGGGUGGUUGUAAGGAAAUCAACCUUAGCAUCUUCAACCUCCAGGCAUAUCCUUUGCUAAAAUCAAUCAACUUGAGAAAGAGCUGAUUGGAUUUAAGUUCCCUUUCAGAUCCUUUAUAAUCACUCUUAUCCUUCUAUACAAGUGACACCCCCCACUUAGCAACCUUAAUCUUAUUAUUGAUAUAUUACUCCAGAGUGAAAAAGCUGGCAGAACACCAAGCAAAUUGAAAUUGGUCUUGGUGUGGAUGAAAACAGCAAGUGACUUUUAGGUCUGAGUAACAGAUUCUUUGACAACUAAGGUAGUUUUCAUUCUUUCUACUUUCAACAAAAUUUGAGAAGGACCUAAUGGAGUAGUUAGCUGGCUGGUUAUUAGAGAUAAUUUUUGAUGACAUAGAUGAUGCUAUAUAAUAUUCUUCACAUUGCUUACAAGAAUUUCCAUGAAGUAAAGUUUCCAUGUUCUUAUUAAUGUGAGCAAAUUUCUCAGAUUUUAAUUAGAAAAAUGAAAAGUGGAAAUAAGUGUUGUACUGAAUCCUGUAGAUCAUACCGGCAAUAAGUGAUGGUCAUCCAAGUACAUAACUUAAUUGGAAAAAGAAUAUAUCUCUCUGAAUAGGAGAUGCAUUUCUAGUGAGUGCUUUAUAAAUACAAUGUAUUUAUUUUGUUUAGCUCAAUUAUGUACUAGUAUAUCUUUAGUGAUAAUUCAAAGAUGAAUAUCUAUCUCAAAAUAAAUAUAUUUCUUCCACGUGAAAUGUGAAAAUAUUAUCACUAAAUGAUUUUUCAAACAUUUCAAUGUAUUGCAUUAGUUAAAAUUCUGUGGAGAAUCAUGAAGCAUAAUUCAAAGGAAAAAUAAAUGACAAAAUUUCUAUUAAAGGCCAUAUUUUCAGUAGAUGAUAUUGAGAAUCAAAUUGUGGUAUAUUCCAUUUACUUAUAGAAGCCAUAGAACAAUUUCACUUUCAAAUCUCAGUAAUUAAAAUGGAUCUUUGUAAAUAAGUUUAUGAGAAUUAUUUUAGAUGUUAAAUGAAAAAUAUAUGAAGGGUAGCUAGUUGUUUAAAAGUCUUCUAGGAUAUAUGUGAUCAAAAUUCUACAACUCCACCAAACACUCAGAGACAUACUGACCUAAGAAUUUAAUUUUUCCUCUGAUGCGUGGGUUUCCCUGUCCUCUUUAUCUAAGACCAAGCAGUCCUUUUUGAAUAAAGCUCAUGACCUAUAAAAUGUGUUUAAUUAGCUAAUUAAAAUAGUGAAUUUAGAUAAGUGAUAAGGGUUUUGGGGUUCAACCAUUACUGCACCUUUGCUAGGCAACAAUGCCAAACGCCAUGCUAGGCACAGGAUAAACCACCAGUGAACAAAACGACAUGAAUCCUUGUCCUCACAGAUCUUCCUCAUGAGAAAUUGUAGACAGUGGGACAUAUUUAAUGUAAGACUAGUAGAUGGGGAGAGUUGGAGAGCUAGUCGUGGGCAUUUGACAGUUUCCAUAAAAUGUUUGAGGAAAUCACUCAUGGGAAUCUGAAAUUUGAAACUAGACAUUAAGGGUUUAAGGAAGUGAGACAUAAAUAUCUGAGGUAGAACAUUUCCAAAGGAAGAAACAACAAGGAAAACAUCCCUGAGGUGAGAUCAUGUCAAAGACUACUGAGGAAAGUGAUAGUGUGCAUGGAUGGUUGGUGCAAGCAAUAAGGGUAGAGGGGUAAGACAAACACCGGCCAUGUCAUCUGUGGAAUAGAGAGCGGGAAGCAAUUUGGAAUGUUUCAAACAGAUGCCAAGAAAGGAGCGUCCCAAUUGAAAUCAUUUCCAAACCUGGGCUCUCUUAACCUGUCACUGCAUCUGGUGUUUUCAAAAAUCUCCCCCUAUUCCUUUGCCUCUUGUCUCCUUUUGUGGCUCUAAUUAUAACUAAAUAACAAUUCUUGUGGUUUAUAACACCUAGUAAAACUUUUUGUACCAUUUCCUCACAAAUUGAAAAGUCAACCCAAUUAAACUACAGUCAAGAAAGAAAAUAUUCUUCUUAAAAUUCCAACUAAAUAGAGUCCUUACUUCCCCUAAUGGAGUAUCAGAACAUCCUUCCAAAGAAAGCACUCUUUGUUGAGCAUGAUAUCUUCUGUACCUGCAGAAGAUGCAUGUUGCAGUGGAAUGGAGAGAAGCAAAUAGAAAAAAAACUGUUCUAAAGGACAAAUGUGCUGAAAUUUGUAAGUGACAUAGAACAGAGAAAAGUAGCAGGAGAGACAGGAAGUGAGGCAGGAAAGAGGAAGUGGGAUGGAGUAGAGGCAAAGCUGCAAGUGCUGGCCACUUAGAGUUGGGGAAAAGUGGCCAACAGGGUUUUGGAGGCAUGGAUAUUUAAUAUUUUAUUUUGCAGCUAUUUGAUAAUUUUCUGAUGUAAUCAUAGUCCCUACUCCCAAUUUCCCCCCAAUUUUGUGUCUCCUACACAUAUUCCAAAUUAAUUUAUCUCAGAAGACAUCAAAUUAAAGGGGAUGGAAUAUGUUAUAUUGGUUGAUGAAGGACAUUAAAAACCGAGAGAGAGAGAGAGAGAGAGAGAGAGAGAGAGAGAGAGAGAGAGAGAAUGAAUGAGAUCAGUGUGUCAGGGGAAGAAAAAAAAAAGUAUGGAAAUGUAUAUCACACACACACACACACACACCAAGCCUUGAGAAACCUGUAGGAAUCUAGAGGUGGGCAUCACUUGUUUUCCACUAAAUGUAAACUGUAGGGGUAGGCAGGAAGGGGUCAGUUUAUUUUUAUGUAAUAAUCUCAAAGGACUGUAUGACAUCCAUUGGCACCUCAGCUGUAAAACGUGCACCAUACCUGUUUCCUGUAACACUAAUUUUCUAAUCUCAUUUACCAGACAAGCAGGACUAAUGAGCACAUAGUGCACAGAUAUGAGAGUCGUAUCCUGGAAAUAUGAUUUUGUGUUAGAAGUGCAUUAAGUGGGAAGAAGAAAUGCAAGAAUAAGAAGUGGUAUAACUAGAAAAUGCUAAAAUAAAAACUAUGCAGCUAUUAAACCAAAUUGUCAUUUUUAAGUAACAAGGCAAAGAUGAAAAAUCUAAUUGCAUUAAAAUUUCACGCUACAGAAAUUGGCAAUAUCAAAACAAAAAUGAGGAAUAAAAACAGAAGGGAAAGGGUCUAGAAAAAUUUUAGUAUAGGAGAUAGCUGCAAAUACAUUUUCAAAAGCUCAUAUAUAUGGAAACAUAGGGUAGAUGAACAACACUAAGGCUUUACAACCUGGACCUAGACACAUACACACAAUGAACACACAAAUCUGAUCAUGUUAUCCCCUGGCUUAGAAACACCUAUUGGAACACGUGGCUUAUAAGACAUUGGAUAGGACUCUAAUCUCUCAAGGCUUUGGAAAGGUAUUCUGUGCUCGUGUCAAACACAUUCCAGGCUCUUGUGACACAUGUUCUCCUCCAUACUACCACAUUUUGCCUAGAGUUUAGAAUGCCCUUGCCUGUACAAUGUUUCUAAUUGUAAUUGUUUUAGACUUUUGAGAUAUUUUACUACUUUGGAAACUUCCAUAGUUCCAAUAAUCCAAUCAUCCUGGGGUUUUUAAAAUUUCUAGUUUUAUUUUCCUCUACUAUUCACUAACUACAGUCUUUCAGCAAUUUAUUCAGUCUACCUAAAUCCCGUAAUUUGACCACUACCCUUCCCCUGAAAAUUCAAUUUUACCUUUUUAUUGUUUUAAGAUGAUUAAAUUAGAUAAUCUAUUUGAGAUCCAGCUAACAGAGUGCUGAGAAAAUACUAACUGCCAAAUAUAUUAGUUUUCAUAAACUUAUUUAAAUUUGAAUAGAUAUUUCUCCAAAGAUACUUUGCAAAUAUGGCCCAGAAGAAUAUGAAAAGAUGUUCCACAUCACAAAUUGUUGGAGAAAUACAUAUUGAAACCACAAUGAGGAAUUAUCUUACAUCCAACAGCAUGAAUACUAUUGAAAACCCAGAAAAUAAUAGUAUUGCUAUGGAUGUGAAGAAAUUGGAACAUUUAUUGGGAAUAGAAAGUGAUGCAUUUGUUAUAGAAAAGAGAAGAGCAAUUCCUCAAUAAAUUAAAAAUAGAACUACCACCAGUAAUCCCAUUUCAUGUAACAUCUUUAUAUUUGCAGCAGCAUUAGUCACAAGAGCCAAGAGGUGAAAGCAACCCUACCAUCUAUUGAAUGUUUUAUAUGCAGACAAUGCAAUAUUAGACUUUAAAAUGAAGAAAAUCCUGCCAUAUUCUAAACAUGGAUGAACCAUGGGGACAUUUUGUGAAGUGGCAUAAGCCAUUCCCUAGACAUACACUGUAUUAUUGCACUUACAUGAGAUAUGUAAAGUACUCAAAUUUAUAGAAGCAGGAAGUAGAAUGGCUGUUGCCAGGGACUGUGAGAAGAGGGAUGUAGGGGAGUUGUCAUUUAAUGUGCAUGAAGUUUAGGUUUUGCAAGGUGAAAAGUUCUGGAGGUUUAUCAUGCAACAGUGUGACACUACUUAACUCCACUGAACUUCAAAAUGGUUAUAUUUCAAAUAUAACCAUUAAGAUGGUUAGGGGGAAAAAAAGCCACAAAAAAAAAUUAGUUGUUUAGUUGACUUUUUUUUUUUUUCACUGAGACUUUCAUCUGUCCUUGUCCUCUCCUAACAAUUGCUUAUUCUUUCCAAUCACUAUUAGAAUUUUCCCAGUGGUCCCAUCAUAAUAAAAUUGCUCUUUCAUCUGUUUGCCUUUUUUUAUAAUAAUGUCUCUUGAAGGCAGAAUCUUGAUCCUAGUCUCCCUUGCUUCUCCAUAGUGAGGUGACGGAUGCCUAAUAUGUCUUGCUGACUAAAUGGAUGAAUAAAGAAGAGAAGCACAGGACAUUUGCUAUAUCAUUUAUCAAUUUUAAUCCAUUUUCCAUCUUAAGAAAGAAAAAUUCUUAGCAGGGAAUAAGACACCAAAAAUUAACUCACAUUAAAGUACUCAAAGACUAUGCUCCUUAAACAGCAGAACCCUGCCCUGCUAACAUGAGUUCUCUGUCCACAAAAUGAAAAUAGGACAGACAUAAAUUUUAAUUUUCAUGAACAUUACUUGUAGAUGGCUGAGCUUGAAUAGCAAAUUAUUUCUCGAUUUCAUAAAGAAAAGCUGCCAAAGAAGUAUUGACCAAGAUAUUGACCAUAUGUUAGAUUUUUCCUAUUUUAGACAUUUCUCUUUUUAAAUAGGCUAUUCCUGUUAGAAAAAUGGUUUUCUUAAUUCUUUCAAAAUUAAGAUGUGACAUGACACAUGUGUCAUUUUCCUCCUUACUGAGACACCACUCGCACCUGAUGCUCCUUUUUCAUUGUUAACUCUUCUGUAUGCAAACAUGCAGAUAUGUUUAGCAUUUUGAUAUGUGUUCAAGUGUAGGUUGUCACUCUCAAACUGUCCCAACUGAUACUUGUAUUACUAUCAAAAUACAAUAAUGGAGGUUGUCUUAAUUGGCAGGAGAAAUAACGUUUAUUAACAGAUUGAAUUAUCUUAAUUCUCUGUAAUUCUUCCAUAAAGAAUUUUAAACAUUUGUGUCAUUACUAGUUCACUACAUUAUGAAGGGAUAACUAGCAAAUCACUUUAAUGGAAAUAAAAUUGUUACCAAUUUUUUGUUAUUUUUUGAGAUGUGACAUGUGUGUACAUUUUAGUAAUAUUUUAUGUGAAAAAAAUGACAAUGAUCCUACAAUUAAUCUAAUUGUAUGAUCCUAAUUCUGUAAAUAAAUAAGUUUAAGGAUUUAUUGGUUUUUUAUUAUAGGAAUAUUUAAUUUUUAACAAUGUUUCUUGUUUCAUGAGAAUCUAGCAUUUAGAAAUUAUAGAUUUUCUAAGCUUUAAGAUAGUAGGCUACUUCUCUAUAGCUGAAAAUGGGCCUUAUAAAUUUAAAAAAAAAUGACACUGUCUUACCCUUGUACAUAUCUGGGUUGUAUGGAUUAUGUUGGUGGAAGAAGAAAGAACAAAAGGUGACUCCAGAGGGGACCACUAUGGCCAUUGACCUCAUUUCCUAUGACCCCUUCCCUCCCAACAUCACAAAUUAAAAUAAUAAAAACAAUAAUGACAAAUACAUGGGAAACUAGCCUUACUCUGUGAGUCAGAUUCUAUUACUUUCCCCAUUGUUAUAGGUGGGACUAACUCCAAGAGUAGUUAAUGUCUGUUUCAAGGGCACCCACCUAAUAAGCAGAGAUAGCCAGGGUUGCACAAUAGUUUUUUCUUUAUGUUUGUUGUGUUCUUUUGUUGUUUGAUGCUUGGUACUGAACCCAGCGCCUUGCUUAUGUAAGCAUGUCCUCUACUACUGAGCUAUCUGCCCCCCAGAUGCUAGUCUAAAGUAUUUAAAGAAAUAUAAUUUUGGGGUGUGUGUGUAUCUGAAGUCCUAUAUAUAUUUUUUUACUUCCAAAAAAUUUGGUAUCUACUAAAGUGAAUCUUAAUAGUUUAUGGGGAACCUAACAUUUUGUUUCAUCUUUUGUAAAACAAUGAACUAGCUACAAUGACAGAAAACAAUCAUGUAACACAUGUAUGGUGAUUUAUUUAUCUGCAGUGAAAGUAUGUACAAAAUAUGCUACAUAUACUUCAGGUCAGGGUUCAUGAGUCAAAAUAGUCAAGGCCCUGUGUAUCUUUCAUCCAUGCCUACAGUGUAAAGGGAUUCUUCUCAUUUGGGGGUAAAAUAGCAGUGCACAAGAUAAAAUCUAACUUCUUAGGGAGCUCACAUCUUAGUGGAGGAGACAGAGAAAAAUGAAUAAUUACCAUAAAUCAAAUAACUUCUAGUAGUGAUAAACACAAUGGAGGAAGAAAGCUGACAAUGAAGUAAGAAUAACUCUUAGGGACCAGCAGGGCUAGGCUAGAUGAGAGGGGUUAGAAGGCUUUCGGGAGAGUAUCAUCUUGCUGCUGAGAUCUAAAUGAUGAGCAGGAACUGAACCAUGCGAAGAUUUUGGUGGGACCUAUGAGGCAGGAAAUGGAAAGGGAGACUUUCCAGGUAGAUGACAUAGUAGAUGGAAAAGCUCUGAGGCACAAGGGCAUGAAGAAUUUUAAAAACAGAAAAGCAAACAUACUUGAAAAACAACAUUGCUGUGGUCAUUGCUCAUUGUUAGUUAGGAGUAGUGGAAAGCUAAUACAACCAUUUAAGAAGGGUGUAAUUAUUAAAUUUUGAUUCAUGUUUUAACAUUAUUUUUCUUUCUUGUUGUAAAAAGAAAGAACCAUAGAAGAAGAAAGAAUUAAAGCAAAUUCACCCAGUAAGAGGUUGAUAGGUUUCAGGUGAAAUGAUAGGCAUGGCCUGGAUUGUGCUAACCUCCUCUGAGACGUGAGUCUGCUUUUAUUUAAAUGGUGAAGAUGUAGACUCCAGUUUUUAUGGGAGAAAAAUCAAGGAACUUGUGACUAUGCUUUAAAAUCACCACAGUGACUUAAAAUAUUUAUUUAUUUUAUGUUUGGCAAGAUGAUGUGUGUGGAAUAGGCUUGUGUCUCUGCGAGUCAGUCUGCUCUAAUAAAUUCAUGAACAGAAGAAAUUUAUUUCUCACAACUUGGGGGCUAGGAAUCUCAAGAUGAAAGCAUAUUUGUUGUCUGUUGAGGGGUUUUGUGUCCAUAUUGGUGGAAGGAGACACCUCUGGUCUUUUUAAGCCCCUCUUAAGAGCCCUAAUCCCACUCCUAAGGGAUCCACAGAGUGGGACCUGAUCACCCUGCAAUGUUCUCAUCUCCUAAUGCCAUCACAAUUGGAGAUUAUGUUUCAACGUAUGGAUUUUGGGGGGUGCACAAAUGUUGUCCAUAACAAAGGGGAUAAUGUAUUGAUUAAAUGGCAAAUAAGGACAAAAAUACAUAAAUGGUAAACCUUUAAAAAUACAGUUCCAUCCAGAACUCUCCAAUGACCAUCCUCUUCCCUGAAUCCAGCACGGAUUUCCCCAUGUGAUCUAUUGCAGGUUUUGAAUAGUCUGCCUCCUAAAACUUUCAGAGUUGUUCUGGCUUCACCAGUAGAGCAUUCCCAUGAAGGGGACUAUGCUGGUGUUACAUCUUUUGCUAAAAUCUAAUAAAGAGACAGUGCAGACAUGAUAGUGAAGUGAGACCCUUCACCUGUACCUUGAAUUUCCCUUAAUAUCUGUGAAUCCCUGAAACAUUUUCCUGAGACUUUGGAAGGCAUAUUUUAGGCCUCCUGGACAGAAGUAUAAUAGAUAGUGGUGCUGUAUUAUACCUUUCAACAGUGUGAAAUUCCCUUUCCCUGCUCCGGAGGUGCCAGGUUAGAGAUGUAGAUUUUCCCAUUGCCAUUCCUAAUCAUCAAUUCCUUCAGAUCAGAAUCUGCUACAGAAAGGAAAGUACAAAAUAAAUACCCUAAUAGAAGUUUUUUCCCCCUAAUAAAUGAGUGUUUUAUUCUUUAGCCCUUGAACUCAUUCAUAUCUUACUAUUUACAGCAAUAUCUAAAUCUGUUCCUCUAAGAAAAUAAGUUAGCUUCUCAUUACUCCCUGUCCUAUCUUAAAAAAAAAAAAACAAAAAACAAAAAAACACAACUCUAAAGAAGAUGAAGAGAUCAUGAGAAUUGUGGUCAAGAGGAUUAAUUUAAACAUAAAUAAAACUUUUGAAUUCAGGAAAUUAUAUUAACACCCAAUAUACUAAUUUUUCUAAGUUCUGACAGCAGUGUUAAUUGAAAUUAUUUUAGCAGAUCAAUCUAGCUAAAGAAAGAAAAACAAGAUUUUAAAAAUUACUUUGAUAAGCCUAAUUCUGUGUUGCUCCUAAGCAAACUAUUUUGUUUUCUAGCCAGUAACAAGAGUUAUAAUUAGUCUGAUGUUCAGGGAUUAUAUUUUUUUAAGAAAGCUAUCCAAACCUGACCAAAAUAAAACCCAGACACAAGAGUUUAUGUGAUACCAACCAUCUGUCCAUUUUAAAACUCAAUGUAUUACCAUAAAACUGUACUACAUUAAGAAGACAGUGGUUAUUUUUCCUAUAUCUUUUUAAAAAAUUUUUUUAGUUGUAGAUGGACACAAUAUCUUUAUUUUAAUUAUUAUUUUUUUAUGUGGUGCUGUGGAUCGAACCCAGUGCCUCAUGUAUGCCAAGCAAGUGCUGAACCACAGAGCUACAACCCCAGCCCUUUCCUAUAUCUUUUUUAAAACAAUUUUCUUUCAAGUGAAAGAAAAUUCACUGUCCUGUCUGAAAUUCCCUUUCGCUGCUCCGGAGCAGGGAAAUUCACUAUCCUGUCUAAAUCAUUUCCUUGUAGAAUAUUCCUAUUUUUCAAACCCAGGUCUGAAGUAGUACUCUGUGUCAAGUGUUAUACUCUUAGGCAUCCUCUGGCUUUCCAUUGAUAUAUCUAAGACUGUUUAUUUAUUUAUGUUUUCACUGCUUACUCCCCAAACUCAGGUUUCUGAUUCUUUCCUAUAUUUUUCUUCUUACUUUUCUUGGAAGUCCUAAUAUACUUUCAAAUUAAAAAAUCAAUAAUGGGAAUUAUAAAUGAAGAGAGGAAUGUGUGGUUCAGCUCCUACAGAUUGUUGAUGGUAUUAGGAGGCCCCAUUCCUGGAGAAAGUACUGUUCUUUUCACAAAAAGAAUUAUGAAGUAACAUUAUCCACAUUUUUUUGGUAUAAGCUCCUUUUCACAAUUCACUGUAGGUAUGCAUAUAGUAUCUUUCUGAAAUAUAAACCUUGUAAAUAGCAAUGUUGGGAGUUUGGGAAAUGGUAUCCUUGGGCAGUGUAUUCAAGUAGGUGUUUCUACAUCUUGCAGAGCAACUGUUAAAUUCCUCUAUUUUUCUACAAAUUAUGAUGAUAUCAUAAGUAGGUAUGAAUGAUUGGAUCAAGAUCUUGAGAGCUGAUACAUUUUGAGCUAGUUAUAAGUAAGAUCAAUUACCAGUAGUAGUUCAUCAAACUUUGCAUAUAAUUGAUGCUGAAUGUAUCUUUGUAACAAAUGGACAGAACUUAAAUAUAAAAUCAAAAUACCAAUCAGCAUGAAUAUAAAGUUAAUUCUUGGAGAGCAAAAUAGAGAAGAUAUAACAGGUAGGUGAACUCAUCUGGCCUCUGAGGUAAGGUGCUAAUCCUCAAAGCCUAGCUCCAUUCAUCUAUGUGACCCUAAACAAGAAACUUGAUCUCUCUUUAUUUCAGUUUUCUCAUCUGAAAAAUAAAGAUAAUAAGGGCAACUACCUUAGAGCAUUAUGAUGAGUAUUAAAUGAGUUAAUGUCUGUAAAGCCCUUUAAGAAACAUGCUUGCCUGGACCAUAGAAGUGAUUGCCAUCAUUAUUUUCUUAAGCAAAUAAGGGUAUGAUGUUACAAUGUUUAAGUGAACUUUUAAAUAGGCAGUGAUCUACUUUAACACUCUGUGGAAGUAUUCUCUAUUAGAAAUAAGAAUAAAAUUUAAAUCCUAUAUAUUUACGCUGUGCACCUACAGUUUUUCACCUUGCUUUUGUCAUUCAAAAUAUAUUUUGGAUAAUUGCAUAUUCUAGAGCACAUAAAAUUUUCUAUUCUUUCAUCGUUGUUUAGAGUCAGAUAGAGUAAAUGCUUUCAAAGUUCUUUCCUACUUCUACAGCAGAACUCUUGGAAGGACUACAGCUUUUCAAAUGCCUUCUUAUAAUAUUUGGUCUGUGAUCCCAUACAGUGUGCCAUAAUUAGUACCUGGUUCUUCUGUUGUUUUGUUUAGAGUGACUCCUCCUCCUACUUCUUCCUGGAAAAAGAAAUACUCUUAUUAGUAACAAUUCCCCAUGGUUUUCCUAGUAGAUAAAGCCUAAAACCUGUAAUCACAUGACAUAGUGCACGCAGAGAAGUGUCAUAAUUAAAUAUAGACUAAUAUAGUAUUUCAAAACUCAGUUAAAAAUAAUGGAUUCAACAAAUGCAUUAAGACUGUUACGUUAUAAUGUUGUAAAGAUUAUGACCAGAAUAGGGAAGGAGACUUCAGUAAACAAACUGUUGGAAGAUAAAUAACAGCUGGUCAGCAGAGGGGAAAAUAAAGCUGAAUUCAAAGCCGGCAUUGUUACAACAGAGAAGAAAUAUGAUUUACAGCAUAAAGCCUCUCCUUUUUACCACUAAAUGCUUAUGAACUUGCAGCACCAGGUACAUCUGCAAAGGGAGGGGGUGGCAAGGGUGUAAAACUGGGAGAAUCUGUGGAAAGUCUGUUUAAAAAGAAUUAGACCCUGAUCCUGAUCCAGUUUCCUGGCCUCUCAACAGUUAAGUGGUCACUUCCCCAUCAUUUUGACAGAAGAUUAACGUUUUACAUUUGGAAAGGGUAAAUGAGAUGAUCUCUGACCAGGAAAAGGGACCCUAAAUUAAAGUCAGGUAAGAAAGCAAACAUUAUCCUGAUGGAGUUGAGUUGCUCUGUGCUCCACCCUAACUUCCUGUCUUCUCACAUCAAGAAUACUGGAAACAUAUUAAUCCUCCAGGUAUAAAAUGAGAAUGUGGAAAGAGUGAAUCCGAAAAUUACUGGUAUCAGAAGUCCCUAGGAAAACAACCCAUUAUUCUUCUUAUAAGGAAAAUCAUAGUUAGAAAAUCCUACCCACUGAAUUUCCAAUCAGCUUUUUAUUCUUUUACUUUUAAAUAAGAGUAUGUAGCUAUGGAUCAAUAGAUGUUUGUGGAAAGCAUCCACAAAUGAAAGGAGGAGGCAAAAAUAAACAAAAGCAGAUAAGAUUUGAAAGUUCAGGUACAUGUGAAGAAAAUCUCAAUAGGAAGUUUGGAAAUUAAUGAACUCUCUCAGAAAGGAGAGAAAGCAGACAACAAAGUGGAAAUCAGGAGGCAAAAAAAAAAGAAGAGAGAGAGAGAAAUGUGGUCCAUCAUAUGAGUUCCAGAAAAACAUGAAGAGAAAAUACUGAAAGUUAAUAGUCAAAUAAUUUAGGCCAAGAACUUCCCAUAACAUAAGAAGAGAACCCAGAAGAGAAAUAACUGAAAAGGAGUCCUUGUGGUGAUGGUGAAGGGACAUUGAGAUGAUCACUGCCAAACAGGGUCUGAAAGCAACCUCUCCAGAUUGGAAAGUGGGAAUUUGGGGGAGGGAUUUCCUAAGAGGAAGGAAAUGAAGUGCUAAUAUAUUUGUAUAAACUUGUAUAAGUUCUCUUACAGGAGAGUUAAUGGUAACUAUGUACAAAGAGAUCAACAAGAACACUAUUAUUACUUCAAAGAAAAUCCAAAAUGGUGGGAAAAUAGGAAAAAGUGCCAGGACCCUAAACUGCUAAGUAGUUAAUAUUAACCAUCAAAUUUCUAAACACUGCAUAGUGAUUAAGCUAAACUCUGAUAUAGCUCCACUGAGGAAUUUAAGGGAUUUAGAGGAUGGUGUGUUUCCGUCCAUUUAUGUAUCUGUGGUGGAAGCCAUGAGUUUGAAGGAGGGUUGGGAGGAACUUAAUCUCCAUGUUCCACAAUGGAAAGCCCAUAUGUGGAGUCCCCAACAGAAAAACAAAGAAACAAGAAAGCUAUUUAUAGAUAACAUAUCAUAGAUAACAGUAUUAUAAAAUAUGCUAAAAGGAUUGAAAGUUAUUCCAUUAGAUAAGCAGGAAAUAUAUUCACAGGGUGUUUCAAGUUUGGAUCUGAAAUUUUCCCCCAAAUCUCCUGUAUGUAGGCAAGGGUAGGUCCCGGGGGUGGUGCUAAUGUGAGGUGGUGGCAACAUGAGGAGGUGGGGCCUACUUGGAGGAAUCAGGUCACUGAGGGUGUGUCCAUGAAGGGCAUAUUGGACUUCACUCCCACCUCCUCCUGCUUUCUGGAACAUACAACCCUUAGUCUUCCCAUCAAGUGGCCUCACUACCAGACCACUGUGAUGAGACUAAGCAACUGUGGACUGAAUUCUCUGAAACAAGUCUUUCCUACUUUAAGUUGAUUUUUUUCAGAUCUUUGGUCACAGUGAUUGAAAACUGACUUACCCAGGACUCUGGGUAGUAUGUGGAUUUUAGGAAAAAAAAAUUAAACAAUUUGAUACUAGAUUUUACAUAAUUUGGGUAAACAUUAUAGGGGGGAAAGUAGAUGUUUUCUGUAACUUUAUAAUACUUUCAGAGUCUUCAUAACUAGAUAUUAAGAACAAAAUCAUAAGAGUUCUUAAUUAAUCCCAUUUACUUGUGUGUAAAAAGAAUCAAUAGCCUUCUUUAUUUUCUUCUGCUCUUUUAUUCAGGAAUUUGAGGAAAUGCCAUAAGAAAAGAUUACAAGAAUCUUAUAUGACACACUUUCUCCUUGUUUGCUCCAGUACUAAUGUUUUUGAGAAUUAAAGGUGGGAAACAUAAACAUGUUUUUUUAAUGUGUAGGAGAAGGUUUGGCACUAGUUGACCUCCCAGCCAAAUUUUACUUUGCGAACAUGGAGAGGGACAUAUGGGGAACAAAUAAGAGUAUAAUAAUCUUACUAUUUGUUAAAAAAAUAGGUUAUAUAAUACAUAAAUCUAUAAAUCGGACACUGCGAACACCAAAUAUCUAUGUAAAAGCUGAUUUGUAUCAAUUAAUAUCUUGUAGUCUUUAUUUUUUCUUCUGUUUCUUAUCCUCACCCUAAUGUUAGAGGCCAUUUUUUUCUUAUUCUGUUUUUAUCAGUAAACAUAAUGAUUGAUAAGGAACAAGGGAACAAGACACUACUUUAGAAUGGGCAUAAUGUUUAUAUAAAAAUUUACAUAUUUCAUGCCCACAUUUUCAAUAGCCUUUUCACAAGAUAGCAUCUUCUACACCUUAAUUAAGAUGUUAUGUCAUUAAAAUAUGGCAGCUGGUCUGUGUGCUACAACCUGCACAACAACAUAUUUGCCAUGAAGACGUGACUCUAUUUUAUAGAAGCUUAAAAAAAUCAGUAUUGAUAUAAAUAGAAGAAUAAAAUCCAAAGGAUAGAAGGAAUAUUGAUUUUUAAAGAAUUAAAGAAAUUAUAUUUGUAAAUGUAUAAAUGAGAUUAUUUGAAUAAACAUUUUCUAAGAAAUCUAAUGAAGGUAACCAAAGAAUAUCUUAGGCACUGGAGGCCAGAAAUGAUCUUUAAAGAAGCUAAGAAGGUCUAGUAGAAAAUAUACACAUAUAAAUAAAACUUCUAGGAAUCUAAAAUUAGCUACACAGAAACUUCUUUAGUUUCAGAGGGUGUUAAUAUACUGAAAAGACAUCACUUUAAGGCAAAUAGAAUUUAAAUAUGAUAAUAGCACUGCAUUAUCUUUUCUACUAUAAUAUCUUGGGCAUUUGUUCAUUCACUAAGCCCAUUCAUUAGAAUUCCACAGUAGUUAAGAGCCUACUAUGUGUCAGGCAUUCUACUAGCUUCUGGGCAAAAUAAUUAAUGAGACAGCCAAGUUUCUGCUCUCAAAGGCAGAGACUGUCUUGGGAAAGACAGAUAAAUAAAGAAGCAAUUGUUAAGUGCCAGCAAUGGAAAGACCUCAACAUUCUUUAUAGACCAUCAAUUUUAGAGCUAUAAACAUGGAAAGAAUUGCAGUGGUCAUCUGAUUUUAUUAUCUGCCAGUUAACUGAGAUCCAGAGAAUAUAAUGCUACAGCUAUAGGUAGAGGCAAAACAAUAACACAUAUGUUCUAGUUUCCCUUGUGAUGUGGUCUCUAGUCAGCACAUGAAACAGUUUUUAAGUUUUGGCUCCAAGAGUAAAAUAUGCUUUAAGCAAAGCGAUAUUUCUUCAAGACCAUAGUAACUACAUAUUUAUUUGAAAAACAGAACUUCCAGUAUGUGGAGCAUGGGGUUAGAGUCUGAACACGUAUUCUAAAUGAGAUACAUUGAUAUGGUUUGGAUAUGAGGUGUCCCCAGAAGCUUCUGUUAAUGGAGAAAUGAACAACAGUGCGAUUAUUAGAUUAUGAGAGCUGUUACUUCAUCAGAAAAUUGAACCAUGUGAUGGAUUAAUGAUUUGAAUGGACCGACUGAAUGGUAACUCUUAGCAGGUAGGACAUGGCUGGAGGGAGUAGAUAAGCAAAGGCAUGCCUUUGGGGUUUAUAUUUUAUCCCUGACUCCUUACUUACUCUGCUUCCCAUGUUAUAAGUUGAGCAGCUUUCCUCUACCACACCUUGCUGCCAAUGAUGUUCUGUCUCACCUGGGCCAGGACAAUGAAGUCAUCAGGCCAUGGGCUGAAUCUCUGAAACUAUGAACCCAAAUAAACUUUUCUUCCUCUAUGUCGUUAUUGUCAGGUAUUUUGUCACAAUGAUAAAAAACACAAUGAUAUCUUAAAUAGAUAAGAAAUUAUCUAUUUCUUCUAGCAAUAGAUUCUAGAAGAAAACACUUAGAAAAUUUUACUAAGUGCUAGGGAAGUAGCUGAGAUACUAAAAUGAUUAAAAACCUAUUCUAUCUUAAUUCUGUAUGUACUAUUUCACUCUUCCUUUGCAAAGGCCUUAUGCAUUGAAUAUGGUUAUCUCUGUAGAAUGUGAAAACUUUAGGAGAAAAAAAUAGUAACUUCAUCAGGACUGCAAAACAAUUUCAUGGUAGAAGAAGGAUUCCAGUGUAGUUAUUUGGUUUUGUUUUGUUGGUGAUCUACCUAAAAAUAUUAUUGGCAGGUAACAAUCACUUUGUUAAUUUGAAUAUUAUACAUUAUUUGUACUCCAGUAAGAAUAACCAUAGACUAUGUGCUACGGUUUUAUGAUAUAAUGAAACAUCUCAAGAGUAGAAUGGUCAAUAAGAGAAGAAGAGGUGGAAAAUAUUGAAUUUGGGGGAAGUCCUUUUACUUCCUCUUCUUAAGAAUUCAUACACAUAUAUAGAGCUACAAAUAAAUACUGGAGAUCUAACUGAUCCUUUGGUUGAAGGUUAGAAAAAAGCAACUAAGAUCUUCUCUAUCAAUAACAAAAUAGUCCUCCCUCAGAAUACUUGGGGAAUUGGAUCCAGAAUGUUCCCUAUAUACCCAAAUUUGGUGAUUCUCAAUCUCUUAUAUAAAAAUUACAUAAUAUUUGCAAAAUCUAUGUACUUCCUUCUAGAUACUUUAAAUCAUAUCCAGAUUAAUUAUAAUACAUAUUACAAUAUAAGUACGCUGUAAAUAGUUCUGCAAUUUUUAGGGAAUAAUGAUAAGAAAAAUAGCUUGUCCAUGUUUCAGACAGAUACACUUUGUGAGGGGCAUUUUGACCUAAGGUGGUUUGAGUUCUCGUGGAUAUGAAACCUAUUGUAGAAAGCUAUUUUCAUCUUUCAAAAACAUAUUUUUCCCAUUUCAUCUGUGAAGAGACCAAUAUUUUAAUAGAGAAAGGUUUUCUGGAACUAGAUGGGUGCCCUUGUGAAGACAGACUGAGGCAUUGUGAGGAUGGUUCCAUAUUAUCUGAAAGGGAAAUGGGGGUUGAAUGACAGCAAUAGUGUCACUAUUUGCCUAUUGUGAGUCCAGCUUUAAAACAGACUCAGGUUUUGUUAGAUUACUGCUCCAGGCCAUAGUUAGAUGCCCAAGAGUUGAGGAACUGUUAAAGUAGUAUUUUAAAGAUGUAGCCUUGCAAUAUCAGGUAAAUUUGAAAACCCAUCUCUUGAAUUGGGGAUCCACUUCUCAAGGUUAGGUGAGGAGAAUUUUUAAAAUCUUCAAUGAUUUCAACAAACAUAAUUAGGACAGAUUUCUUUCCAAGAAUCCAAUUUCUACAAUUGUAGACACACCCCUUUUCUUACUCUCCUUGGUAUACUGUAUCCUAAAUUCAGCUGGUUCAGCUGAAGGUAUGAAGAAAGAAUCUGAUUAAAAUAAUUGGCAAUAAAGUAUGAAUAAUUAACUGACACCACCCUGCUUGCUUACGGGGGUAUUUGCUUUCAAGAGUGUAGGUUAAGCUGUCACUAAUUGGGAUUGAGGAAAGAGCAGCAGCAAUUUAGCACAGUGUUUCAGCUUCACAAGUUCCUUUCUCAGUAAGGUAUUUUUAUCUCAAACCUCUCAGUUGAGCAUAUUCUAAAGCACAUAUUACCUCAUAGCAAUAAUCAUUAAUCUUCUUUUCAUCUAUGAUUCCUGUGACUUCUUUUCUGAUAUUUCCUUUUCUCUCCACUACCAUACCAUAGUGCUUUCCAUCUUGGAUAUGUACCUUCUCACACAGGGGACGGCCACACAAACAGGCACAUGCCAUGGCCCCUUGUGGAUGCUGACAUGUACCAUGCUUCUUAAACUCCUAUAAUUAUCUAUUAGCUCUUUAUUAUGAUGAUUACUAUUUUAUUGAAUGUUCACUAACUUAACAUGCUCCCAAAACCAAUGGAACAUUACCAGCACCAUAUCACUCCUUUUGAAAAAAUGUUUCUUACCAAGAAUAGCAUCUCUCCUCCCAUUAUUUUUGGCGAAAUCGCUUUAUGUUUUACCAGACACUUGAGAGACAGGAUUAGAAUACUGAAUACAUAUAUAUAUAUAUAUAUAUAUAUAUAUAUAUAACCUAAGCAUUACAUCCUCAUUUUUUGAAGCAAUUAAUUUCAUAUCAAAAUUUCAUAUUAUUUUUUGGUAUAUACUUAUAUAUAUAAAUAUAUAUAUAUAUAUAUAAUCAAAAAAAUUAACAAAAACAAUCAAAUGUUUAUUAAAAAUAGUGACAUUUUAGACAGAUAAUUUAGAAUGAACUGAUUUGUUAAGCAUUAAAAUGUUUUUCUUUUUUUCAUAAGAUGCAUUAUCAUGUUAUUGUAAAGGUAAUAAUAAAUGAACAUUUUGGUAUGAAUUCUUUUAAAGAUAUUAAAGAAUUAACAAAACUCCUCUUCAAUUAAAACUUGCGCCUGGUAUCUGUUUUCUAUGAAACAAGUCUUUUUUGUCUCAUAUCAAAUCAAUCAAAGAGUAUUAGUUGCCUUUUUCUAUGCAAAUGUUUUUUGAGAAGACUAAUUUUCUCAUCAGUUUAUAAAUCAUUUUAUACAAUAUAGUAAUUUACAUUAGACAUGGUAAGAUAGACGCUUAUACUGAAAUAUUUAUCAUUAAAAUAGAGUUUUCCUUAAUUCGGUGAUACUCUUCCAUGAAACUAAGGCCUUAUUGACAGGAGUUUUUCACAACUAAUGAAGCAUGUAUCAAGUUCUCAUUUUCUUAUAAAGUUGGGCUUCCACAAAGAUUGGGGUUCUCAUAGUCACAGAAAAAAGCCUUCUUUCCUCCAAACUGGUGGGAGUUCAUAUUCAGCUCUCAGGAAAACUUUGAUAGUAAUAGUUUUGAAAACACUCAAUUUUGUGGCAGAUGAUAUAUACUUGAUAGUUAUUCAGGAAAACAUGUCUCUGCUACAUAAAUGUUGGUCAUGGAAUUUUUGGUAGAAAAUAAAUGGAGGUUGCAGAGCUAUUCACAAUUUAAUCAUAGCAAAAAUUCAGACCUUCCUUCCUGUUUUAGACUUUCCAUCUUUUGUCUCAGUUUUACUUUCCCUUAAUAGAAAAAUAUUUUCCUAAAUUAUUUGUUUUUUGGGGUUCUGUUGGUUAAUCAUCUUUUAGUUAAAAAAAAAAAGGUUGUUUGUGGUUUGUUUCUGUUGAGAUUUAUUUUGUUUUUAUAUCAUCAAAUGAUGACAGAGUCAGUGGACACAUUUCCUUUUGGUUUCUGAACUUUCUUUUAUUUAUUUUUCUUCCUAAAACUACUGAGUUUUCAAGUCUCUUUGUAACGCCUUUUCUCUGAAUAAAAUGUCCUUUUUGGAAACACGGUGUUUCCACAUUUGGAGAGUUCUACCAUGUAAUUUGAACCACAAACAUUUUAAUUGGUAAUGUUGAGGUUUUCAUUAUUGCUGAAGGGUACCCUAUUUUGGGAGGGGGUUAAGAGCACUUAUGCAAAUUUCCCUCAGAAGGGCAUGAGGCAUUGAUGAAGUCCUUUCUGUUUUCUAACGCUUACUAGAGAGUGGUAAAGAAGUACAACAGCACUAAGUGGUAACCAGGGGAGUGUUAAGCACCUACAAAGUAGGAGGCACUAUUUUUUUGAGGGGGAGGGGGAGGCACUAUUUUGAUGAUACAGCAGUGAACAAGACUUACUAGAUUCCAGCCCUCAUAGAGUUUAUAUCUAUUUUUAGAGAAAAGCAGGCAAUAAAUAAAAUAAACACACAUUUUGUUUCUGGUAUUGAUAAGUCUCCUGAAGAAAAUUGUGGCCAAGGUGAUCCAAAGUAACAGAUAUCACCAUUGUGUACAGAGUGGUCCAGGAAGCUUCCUCUGAUGAAAUGACACUUAAGCAUAGGGGUUGAAUGGAGUUUAGAGGAGAGGGAAAAACAGAAGGUGCAGGUCCUGAAGCAGGAGGGCUUUGGUAUAUUUGAGGAAGGUCAGAUUGGUUGGAGUAUAGUGACAGAGUGAGUAAAUGAGACAGGAAGCAGGAUACAGAGGGCCUGGUAAAGAUGGGGUGAGUUCAUUCUAUAGGGAAUGGGAAGCCAAACAAGGGAGAAACAGGUGACAUAAUGUGGCUUGUGUUUCAUCAGGAUCAUUUUGGCUGCAAUUUGGGAACAGAUUAAAGGGAUUGAGAUGGAAGCUGGAUAUCCUGUCAAGAGAGAGAUGAUGGUAACAUGAGGAAGGGAAUUAGAGGUAGUAUAGGUCAGUAUAUCAAAUACAUUUGAGUGAAGAUUUCUCUUGAGGAAUUGGAUGUGAGAAUGAAAGAAUAAUAGUCAAUAAAAGUCAAUGAUGGAAAAAUUUUUGUCUGAGGAACUGGGUGAAUUGUGGGUACCAUAUAUACACAUGUCAUUUUAAUGUACUAAUGCUGACAUAAAAUCCCACAUAUCUUAUCAACAGAGAUAUUCACAGAAUAAAUCUUAGGUUUUUUAAAAAAAUUUUGUACUACAAAGUGACCAUCUGUGAUGAUUCCAGGAAGAAUAUAUUGAAUUUGCUUCCAUUUUACCUAUGUUUUAGUGACUGAGGAGAAACAUCAUUUUACCUGUAAAACCACAUUACAUGUCCUACCUUCAUUCAGGCUAAUUUCUACCAUAUCGUGUCAGGUGAGUUCAGAGGUAUAACAAAUGCUUGCAUUAAGAGAAAAUAGCUAGAAAUAUUGCAAAUCAGUUUAUGAUGUUAGCAUUCUUCAAUUUACUUAACUUUUUUUUUUAACUAGGGAAUUAAGAUAAUUUAGAUUUUAAGACCUUAUCUUUUUUUGGAUCAGACCCAAGAAAUGAGGGGUUCCCUGCCCCCUUUGCAAAGCUCUCUUCUUUAUGCACCAGGUUUUCUGACAUUCUGAAUUAAUACUAAGCCUGUCUAAAUUUGACUUAGGUUGGGGGAUAGGGAAGACGUACUUUACUCCAGGGAAGGCAAUAUCUACUUUUAUAGGAAACUGAAUGUUGUAAAUACUGCAUAUUCAGGGUAUUUGUACUAGUAAGUUAUGUGAACAGAUAACUUGAUAACAAAUAUCUAAGAACUGGGUCAGAGGGAGAUAUUAAAUUUGUGCUAUAUAAGGUUUCCCAAAGGCUUGGUUUAUUUUGCAAAUAAAGUUAAAAAUGCUUUUUCUUGGUGGCUGUCUUUAUAUUUUAUGACUCUACUAAAGAAAGUUUCUUAAAAAUUGGAUUUUUGUUUUUUAAUUUAGGAGCUGAUAUUGUAUGUUAACUUAUUUUAAACACUUUUUAAAUAGCUGAUUAUUAAGCACCUUUACACUUUGCUAAAUAUCUUUUUAUAAAUAUCUUUGAUGCUCUCCCUGAAGGUACCAAAGUGGCCAUUCACUUAGCAAUCAUUUAUGGGGUGCUAAAGGCAACAGCAGUCACUACAAUAUCAAUCCUUAUCCAGAAACUAGGGAGGCAUUUGGGAAAAUAUCAUUAACCAAAUUAGGGUUGAUGUGUUUGUUUAAAUAAUUCUUACUUUUGAAUGAAAAUAUCUGUCCUAAUUAGCAUUUCUUUAUUUCUUAAAUGGCACAUGACUUUCAAUGUCCUGCAUCAUUUUGUAUCCCCUCAGGAAUUUCCUCAAAUGCAAACUGCAUCUAAACCUUUCCUACUAAAUCCUCUUUGAGGAUUGUGAUCUUUGAUCUUUGGAUUUCUUAUCUGGUACUACCUCUGUUGCCUCCCCACAGUGGAUUCUUCUCUUGUAAACCCACCAUGUUAUCUGAUCACACUAUUAACUUUCUACUGUCUUUUUUCCCAUACUGUUGACCCAGUCACUGGUAAUGAUCAUAUCCUUGAUUUUCAAAGAUAUUUAUAGACUUUCAAACAUGGCUUUCAAAGCAGGCACUGGGAAGAAGUGAGGAAACUCAGAUGUAUGGGACAGUUAGUACUUAUUGGCAUCAAUUUAGAUAAAUAGGAAACAGGAAUGGACAACACAGAUUAAUUUCUUUUUGUUUUGCCCAUCAGACAGCUGCAAUGUAAGUAGAUUUCCUUUUUGCAAACCUUUAUGAUAACUCUGCAUGCAAAAAAAAGGUACAUCAAAAGCAACAAACCCUUUGCAUUGACUUGUAUUAUUCCUUCCCAAAAUCAUUCCUCCUAUUUUUCCCCCUCAUCUUCAUUUUCUGGGCUUGCAAUUCCCAAGAUUAUGUCAAUACUACAAUCCUUGCCUUAGGCUUUCCUCUUUUAAAAGGACUCAAGACUAAGAAAGCUGGUAUUAUUAAUCUAUUCAUUUAGCUAAGAUUGUGAAGACUAGAAAGGUUUAUAGGAUCCCUUCUGCCUAUAAUAUCUGAAUUACUACCAGUUAUUCACAUUGUUCUUUAUAUGAUGUUUCUAAAAUAAAUAAAUGAACAAAACAACAACAGAUUCCUCUUUCGAAUGACAUGGAAACUUUCUUUUUUAUUUUUCUAUGAUUAUUCUGAGAUUUAAAUUUUUUUUCUUUUAACAUAUAAAUAUAUAUAUUUAUAUGUAUAUAUAUAUACAUAUAUAUAUGUGUAUAUAUAUAUAUAUAUAUAUAUAUAUAUAUAUAUAUAUAUAUAUAUAUUCAAUGGACCUUUAUUUUAUUUAUUUAUCUACAGUGCUGAGAAUCAAACCCAGGACCUCAUACAUACUAGGAAAGUGCUCUACCACUGAGCUACAAACCAGCACUCAAGGUUUUUUAAAAAUAUCUUUGUUAAAACUUAUAAUAAAUAUAUCAUAAAUUAUUCUAUUGAAUGAGUGAAUCAAGAAAUGGUGAGCUAUCACUAUUGCAUAUGCCGUAAUAAGUAAUAAAGAAAAAUCAUUAUGUGGCCUGAUGUGAACACCUAAAACUUAUGUCAUUUUCUGCUCAAAUCUUAAAUUAACUUUGAAAAAUUAGCCAUUUUAAAAACAAUAUUAUAACUGAUGUGUGAUCCUUUUCCCUUUCAGAUAUUUAAUAAAUAUUAUGCACUCUUAAAAUCAAUAAGAUAAUGAAGAUUUUGAUCAUUUUGGUAUACUCUACAAUUAUGCAAUUAGAUGUCAUAAUUACAUGUUCAAAUGAUUACACACAUGAACAUGAAUUUCUUAAUUAGCAAUAAUUAUACUAAUGAUCUAAAUUCACAGAAAUUGGCUGAAGUGACUAAAUCAAGUAAAUACUUCCAUUCCAAGAAUGAUUUGGGAAAAUAAAAAUGUGUAUCUAUCAUAGACUGUCUUUCCACAGACUCUAGCUUCUGCUAUUUAUAAGAAAGCUGAUGUAAAUUGUAUUUGUUUUGCACUGAGAAUUGAAUUAAAUAUGUCUUACCUACAAUAAUAAUUACAUAAAUUUAUUGAGAGAGGCAAAAUACUUUCAUAUUGUCUUGGGUAUAUUUUGGAAUCUGUGUCAUUCCCUGUUACCUGAUAAAUUCCCCAUACAUUUAUCUCUCCUUGGUUUUGUAUCCUUGACAUAUGCUGUUGUAGGAAAAUAGUGACUAUUUGAAUAUAUUUUAUAUCUUAGAGUUUCUUAGACAUCAAGCACACAAGUAGCAUAGGUAGAUAUAUAUUUACAAUAAUGAUAUCUUAGCUUUUUAUCACUUUAUUUAUUUAAGGAAUAUAAUAUAUGAAAACCAUUAAUGAUUGACUAAAGUUUCAGUUUUGUCCAAACCUUAAUUAAUAAAUGAUGUCUAUAAUAAUUAUGUAUACUGGAGGGCUUAUGAUGGUAGGUUCACAUAUAUGCAUAUGUUGAAGAUAUAAAAUAGAUUUAUAUGUAGUAUAAAUAUUUCAUACGUGUGUAUGUAAAAAAAUAUAUAUAUAUUUACAUACACAUAAAUAUAUGUGUAUUUACUGGAACAGUAUUCAGUAACUAUCUGAUUACUAUAUCUCUUUUACUAUGUGAUUUGGGUUUUUAUUGUGUAUGUGUGGAAAAUAAAAUUAGAAAAAGAAAAAGAUAUGUAAAUAAGAUAUUUUAUAAUGCUGGGUGUACUGGUCUUAUUUUGCAUUCAGGUAGAUGAAAUCAUAGCUUCAGGCUCAGCAGCUUCAUCUGUUUUACCUAUUUCCCUAAUAAACCUGAGUUCAAGUUAUACAAUUACUGGUGAGACAUUGAUGGCAUCCUCCUUCAUGAUUUUAAAAAUGUUUGAACUCCUCUCCACACUUGGGGUGAGAGUGAAAAGUUCUCAAAAACUUCUCUACAUGUAUCUGAAUUUUAUCACUCUAAUAGGCUGUUAGAUCAAUACUAUAACUGUUGAUUCUGUUUCUUAACCAAGUACACUAAGAAUUGCAUCUAUGAAAAUUGAUUCCUCACAAAAUACAUGUCUUCCCUUCUGAGUUAAUUUGGUUCUGAUUCUAUUUAUUUAUUUAUUGAGUUGUGGGGAUUGAAGUACUGAUCUAUAUCUCCAACCCUUUUAUUUAUUUAUGUAUUAUUUUUGUUUUGAGACAGUGUCUUACUAAAUUCCUUAGGCUGGCCUUGAACUAGAGAUUCUCCUACCUCACUUCCCCAAUAGCUGGGUUUGUGGGUGUGUGUCACUAUACUCAACAGAUUCAGGACUCUUAUUGAUAGAUUCAGAUUUGUAACACUAAUGCAAUAGACUCUGGUAAAUGUAGUUUUUGGUUUUUGGACUCUGAAUUUCAAGAAGACAUCCUAGUCAAAAGUUGAAGGCGUGUGAGUAACACGGACUAUAUCCUGUGGUCACAAGAGGCAACUGUAUGAGGAACUUUCCUACAUCUACCACCCAAUAAAGCAUUUGAUACUUAUCAUAUUUAGACAAAAGUUAUGGUUUCUAAUUUAGUAGUGAGUAUAUCUUGAAACCGCCAGUGAAUUGAAGAUAAUAAAUUCCCUAUUUUGUGUGAAAACCAGUCUGUUUUAUGAAGACUUAUAUACUUUUCUCUUUUAACUUUGAAAUUCCCCAUCUUCCCCCUUCUUUGCCCAGGUUACAGGUUCAAGGUUCCUUUUCUUAAUAUUUUUUCUGUCCCAGGAAUAGUCACUCAAGAAUCCCAGGUAAUAUGAUACAGGAUAAUUUGUGUUUCAUUCUUCAUCUCCAUUUCACUUGGGAAACAUAAUUUUGUAGAAAUAUAAAUAUGCACAGGAAAUUUUACAAUGGGUCAGUAAAGUUUAAUAAUGUAUACUCUCUUUUUGUAGAGUUAAAGUGUAGCCAUUUUUUCCCCUUGUUCUUAGGGAACAAAUACUUUAAAGCCACUGAAGUCCGGGUCUUUUAAUACCAGAGUAAUACUGAACAUAGGUUCUGGAUCAGAGUGGGCUCACAGCUGUAUAUGCUAGUAAUGAGACCAUGGGAAAAUCAUUUUUCUGCUGAAGCAUCAGUUUACUCAACUGUAAAUUGGAAAGUAGUAAUUAAACAACAUUAUUUUUUGAGGAUUAAGAGGGAUAUAUUAACAAAGAAAUUGCCUUAGCAAAUACUUGUUACUCUUAGUAGAAAUAUAGUCAUAAGAUGGUUGUUAGAAUGUUGGAGCCACUACUAACUAUGUGGUCUUCAGAAAGUUAAUCUUUCUUAAUCUCAGUUUAGUCAUCUGCAAAUUGAGCACCACAAUGUUAGCUGGUCAGAUUUGUAUGAAGACAGUGAUGCAAGACUGUUGCUCAUUUUGUCUCUUUCUAAGCUUGUAUCAAAAUCGAAACAGGUUAAAUAUAAAUUCUUGCAAUAUUUAACCCAGGCAUUAAUCUAUUGGGCUGAAAUAUUUCAAAUGUGUCCAGGAAUAGCAUACUGUUAAUAUCCUGUGAUCCUUGAGUUCUGAAAUUAGGGCACUUAAAUGGACAUUUAAAGUAAUACUAUUUCAGGGAUAAGAUGUCUUACCCAUCGGUUUAGUUUUACAUGUCUUAUUGUUGAUAGUGUUCGAUCACCUGGAUGUUGAAUGGAGUUUAAAUUAUAAGCUGACAGUUAAGUGUAAACAUCUUUUAUACUACCUUCAAGGAUUUCAGGGUGCCCAGAAAGUGUGCAUUUGUUUUGUUUUUGCUUUUCUGAAAGGUGUUCAAAUAUUUUGGAAGCAAAGUAUAAAAAUUUGCCCAGAAGCCUGGGAAUGAAACAAUAGGAAUUGAGGAUAUUAAUUUGCUUUCCAGGUCUAGGUACCCAGAAAAAUGUACACAGACAAAUGAUUCACUGCAAAAUAUUUCUGUGGCCAAUUUGAUGUCUCCUGGGAGUUCUUUAGAUGAAGCUUUAGAAAACGUGAAAUAGAAUUGCAUUGCAUUACUCAUUUGGCACAUUCUGGCUAAAUUUGUUAGAAGAGUCCUAGAAUGUCAUAAUCAGAAAUACUUUUUAAGUCUUUAUACUUCAAAGAUACUUCUUUUUUUUAUCAGUAUGCUUUAAAAAAUCUCUUAAGUAUUACUCAUUUAUUUGGUUACCUUAUAAACAAAUGUAAAUACAACUUUAGUACACUGCUGUCUUGGAAUGAAAAGAACACAGAAAUGUAUUAUUUCUUACAUUUCUAAUACUCUGCUGUGUCUGCAAUACUGUUAACUUAGAUUAUAUUCCAUUAUAAAAGGUACUAAAGAAAUUUCUGCUUCACUUUCAACAAAAUAAAAAAUGAUGGUGAAAAUAUUCCCAUAAUAAACCCAUAAGGAGAAGAUGGAAAUGUUCAGCCCUAACACUCAAGAAAAAUCCUUGAUUUGUAAAUUUUGUGGUCAAUCCAUAUUGAUUAACUAGUGUAAAAAUGCUAAAUUUAAAUCAAGGAAGACUUUUAAAGUUCUAGAAGAAUCAUUAUAGUAGCACUUCAAUUCCACCUGCAUUUAUUCACUUGCAUGAUUAAAAAAAAAGUUUGGAAUAUACUGUAUGUCAUUAUAUCAGGUUACCAGCAUAUAAAUGAGAUAUUGAUGACAGGUUUAAUGAUGUUUUUAGCCAAUACUUGAUUCUUCCUUUUAUUAGGUGCUACUCAAUCUUUUAGAUGGUUAAUACAGUGUUUCCAUGCAUGCAGUUUCCUUUAUUUCUUUCAUUACUUCCAGUUGUUUUUCCAAGGUUACUACUUUCAUUAUUUUUCAUUUGGUAAACAAAGAAGAUCUUUUAUUUAUAGAAUCUUCAAAUGUUAAAAAUGUAUUUCUGAUGUUUUGCUUCAGUCUUCCACAACAAAUGAUAUUCAACUGCUGAUUUCUGGACCCAGAAAAAAAAAUAGUAGCUUAAACAAGAUAGGCAUGAAUUCUGUCACAGAAAUAAGUCUAGUUGAGGGAGUAUUAUUAAGAUGGGAUGGUUGUUUUAUGACAUCAUCAGGGAUCUACCGUUUUUAAUAAUUUGAAUAGACUACUGGACGGUAACUCUAGGCUUGUGGGGAAUGGCUGGAAGAAGUAGAUCACUGGGGGCAUGGCCUUGGACUUAUCUUUGGCCUGGCUCCCCCUCUUUCCUUCCCCCCUCUUCCUCUUCUCUCCGCCUCCUUCUCUUUCUUCUCCUUCUUUCUCUCUCCUUUCUGGUUACACUUAGGUGAACAUCUUUCUCUACUAUCCCUUCUCCUUCUGCCAUGGAUUUCUGCUAUAUCUCAGGCCUAGAGAUAUGGAGUCAGCCAACCAUAAUUGGGACUAAUGAAACCAAAAUUACCUCCACUAAAUUUGUUCUUGUCAGGUUUUUGGUUACAGUAAUGAAAAGCUGAGUAACAAAGAUCCUAUGAUUCUAUUAUAUUCAAUUUCAGGAAAUGAUGAAGUAAAGGGAAAAAAAAUGAGCCUAUUCCAUUCUAUUUUAAGAAAUUUAUCCACAAUGCCCAUUAAUGUUUUCAGUUACAUGACAUACUUGUGUGCAGAAAAAAGUUAACCUAGUAGCCCUGAGGAUGCUACCCAACGUCCAUUGCAAGGUUGGCCUUUGGUUGGAAUCUAGGAAUUUGAACUUCAAGAAGAUUCCUACCAUUUCCUAACCAGUAGAAGUGGCUCACCAUUCCUAAAGUUGCUUUUUUUAAAAUAAUAAUAUGGUUUAUACUGAACACUUGUUUACUUUUAGGCUGCUGGAAUUUUGAUAUUUGCUAGAGGGUGCCUAAGUGACCAGGGCCAGUGAAACACUUGGGUGUGGCGUCUCCAAUGAGCUUCACUGGUAGAAGUGAACUAAACACACUGUGUGAUUCUAUUGGGAGGGGACUCCUGAAAGCUUGAGUCCUUUUUCCUCCCAGAAUUUCCCGGUAUACAUUUAUCCUUUUGUUAAUUUUGCUUGUAUCCUUUCACUAUAAUAUGUCAUCAUCAUGAUGACUUUAUAAUGGAUACAUACUUUUUUUAUAGGUAUAGGGAUAUAUUUAGAUGGAUUAACAAACUCAUUAAUGGUUAUAGAUUUUAAAAAAAUCCCACUCUGUAUAUAUUCCAAAAUAAAAACAGAUGAAUAGACUCAACUUUCACUUGAAGAAGUGUCAAAAGAUUAACAUCUCAACUGAAACUCCUUAUAUUGUGGGUUCCUUGUGGAGAGCUGUUUUAUCUAAUUCAUGCUUGUAUUAUCAGAAUUAUGCUACCAGGAAUUCAUCCAAGCAGAAAUUACUUUGAUAAUGAUUUCCAUGUCAGGUUUGGUUAUUUGGACUAGAGAUACCAAGAUCAAGAACAGUCCUUGACAUAAUGAGUUUAUAGCUUAGUAAGGCAAAAUAAUUGUGUUUUAGGACUGAUUUCUAAGAUAUAGACACGGAGAAGAAAGUUCAAGUACUAGUGGAGCAAGAAUUCAGGAGAGGAAAAGAAAGAAGAUGGGUAAGGACAUGAUUUUAAGAGGUUAGCUCCCGUCUGGCACAGCAAAGGAAUCCUGGGCUGCAAAUUAUGGUUCAGAAACUGUCCUAACUGGAGUAAGGGAGCAGGGCUCUCAUAUUCCACAUGGAUCAUUAAUGAGCUAAAAGCCAUUGAGUUGAGGAGUAAUCUCAAUGAUUUCUAAGACUUCAUCUUUGAGUGUAAAGUGACUCCAUGGCCUAAGGACCUUCUUUGAGAAACAAGGAAUCCUUAAGAGUUACAUAUAGAAGGAGCAAAGAGUAUAAGAGAGUCAGAUGAAUACCUGAUACUUGCUCUAAUUAUAAUCAGCUACUAUUGCAAUAUGUUGAGUGCUCCCUUAGAGGGAAUUACCAGUGCUAUGGCAACAAAGAGAGCAAGGCAUGAUAGGUCUUUGUGGGAGAGGAAAAGCUUCCUAAUAAAAUGAUUUAUAGAGUAUCAGAGGGCAUUAACUAGCUACCAAAUAUAGGGGAAAAAAAAGGAGAACUUUCAGGUCCAAGGAACCCAGUGUACAAAAACACAAAGUCACAAGAUCAUAGAAGAACUGGAACUGCUGAGAAGAAAAAUUCCCAACAUUAAAGUCUGUCAUGGUUCUAAUAUCAGGGGAUGAAGUAUAAAAACAUUCUGCAAACUUCUAAAGAAGUAAAAUCCUCUUGCUGUUGUUUGAGUCCCUGUGGUUAAAUUCUGUGUUGUGUUUUAAAACCAAACCCUUUUACCAUGGGUAUACAUUCAGCCAAGCACUUGCUUACUUAUAAGCAGUUGCCCCAAGAUGUACCUUUUUCUUUCACUCUGGUUUGCAUUAGUGCUAGCAGGCCCUGUCCUAAUUCUCCAUAUGCACAAAAGAUAAUGCUGUUAAAGAUAAGCAUUACGUUUAUUUGAUUUCUUUCAUAGUUUAUUUACAAAGGAGGUGAAUCAAUUUCUCAGCUUAACUCCAAAGAAAAUGCCAAAGGAAGCAUUUGUGCAUAUUUAUUAGUUAUAUGUGUUGCUUCUGUAUAAAGAGAUCUAAACCCAGUGUUCUCUACUUUAAGGCCUAUCUAGUGUUGGGAGUACACAGGUCCACACCUCAUCAUUUCCCUGUUUCCAACUCCUCUGCCACUAUGAGUCCCUCUUCAUCACCACCUUUGUUCUGACUGGUGAGAAGACUGACCUUGAGUCCCCCUUGCUAUUCUUCAGACUCCAUUUUUUAUUGUUCCCAGGAACUUCUUAUUUACAAUUAUCAAAUAGUAGCUCUAAUUUAUGGAAAACUUUUAAAACUGUAUAUUAUUAUAAUUAGUGGUAUUGGUGAUGAUGCUAGUAAUUAUGAUCCCUAAUAAUCAUAUUAGAAAAACACUAUACUAGAAAAAAUGUUUUAUUCAUAAAUUAUAGAUACUUUAAUGUUAAAAUUUUAUUGCCUUGUCUGAAAAUUGUGGUUCUUUUGAUAAAAGCACAUUUAGAAGCAAAUGUAACAUGUUGUUAUAAUUUAUUAUAGUCUGAUACUAUUUAUUAAAAAUUUAACUUGUCUGAUCUAGAGUCUUAUGCCAUUCAGAAUUUUAUUUAUUUAUUUUUUGUGUUAAGUGGUUUUAAAAAAACCUAUUUCCUCUCUAAUUUUCCCUGGUAUCAAUGCAGGAGAUAAGAAUAAACUUUAUUUUCAAACAUCAAUGAAUGCUGUUUGUUGAGAGGUACCAAUCACAUGCAUUCUUUUAUACUCUUGCAAGUAGAUACCUGUAACUGGCUUUUCAGGUUUACCUCCCAGUGGUUCUGGAGGCAGAUCAUCCCAAUAAUUAUAGACUAUCCAAUGGAUUAUGUUUAUCUUGUAUUUUACUCUGGCUUCCUUCUACCAGUCGAUCUUCUUUCAAAGCACAAAUAAGGGUGGGAAAAAUUUCAGAUUUGUUUCUAUAGAUGGACCUGAGUAUGUUUGCUUUAACUCCUUGGUAACUGAUAGAAAAUAUCUUCAACUCAUGAAUCUCCAUUCACUAGACGUUAAUUAAAGGAGGAAAUCAGAAGUCUCUCAUCGUGGUUAAGGUGCAAGUCCUGAUUGAAUUUGUAAAAUCUGUGCAUCAUGCUUUUAGAAUUCAAACAAGUUUGUCUGUGAAUUAUGCUCUGGGUUUUUAAUGUUUUCCUAAGAUUAUCUCAGUCAACAUUGAUUUUAUUUAAAGCUAUAUAAAAUCAGUCAUGUUUUAGUAAUAUGAUUUAUCAAAAAUCAAAAUACAUAAUCCUCUUUCAGGAAUUGGAUAGCCCUCAGCUAAGAGUUAGGUUCUGUAGUCUAAGAUGAUCUCCAUUGUUAUUCCUUCAGUUUACUAGAGAAUUAAAUUAAAACAAUAUGUCCUAAAUUUCAAUAUUUUCUCUUUUAGUUAAUGUUAUUUUUAUGGAGAUGACUAUUUAAUGUUUAAUAGGAUAUAAACAUGCAUAUUUAAUAAUUUACAUCUAAAUAUCAGAUAUCUAAAAUUCCCAUUGUGGGACUAGUAAUUAUCUCAAAUGUCUACUCUCCUGUACUUUGAAAGUUGUGGAACCAUCAAAUUACAGCAACAAGAUGCCAUUCAGAGUAAAGAGUAUCUUUCCUAGUCGUACUUGUAACUAAGGAUGGGAAUAUAAAAAUGAUGUAAGCAGAAAUAUUAGGAAUCCCAGAAACUUCUGUGAAAGACAAAUAGCAGUUGCUUUUUGUCCCUUUUCUUUUCUUUUUUUUAAUUGGUUGUUCAAAACAUUACAAAGCUCAUGACAUAUCAUCUUUCAUACAUUUGAUUCAAGUGAGUUAUGAACUCCCAUUUUUACCCCAAAUACAAAGUGCAGAAUCACAUAGGUUAUACAUCCACAUUUUUACAUAAUGCCAUAUUAGUGACAGUUGUAUUCUGCUACGUUUCCUAUCCCCUACUAUGACCCCCUCCCCACCCCUCCCAUCUUCCCUCUCUACCCUAUCUACUGUUGUUCAAUUCUCUCCCUUGUUCCCCCCCUUUCCCCUCACAACCUCUUAUAUGUAUUUUUGUGUAACAAUGAGGGUCUCCUUCCAUUUCCAUACAAUUUCCCUUCUCUCUCCCUUUCCCUCCCACCACUCGUCUCUGUUUAAUGUUAAUCUUUUCCUCAUGCUCUUCCUCCCUGCUCUGUUCUUAGUUGCUCUCCUUAUAUCAAGGAAGACAUUUGGCAUUUGUUUUUUAAGGAUUGGCUAGCUUCACUUAGCAUAAUCUGCUCUAAUGCCAUCCAUUUCCCUGCAAAUUCCAUGAUUUUGUCAUUUUUUAGUGCUGCAUAAUACUCCAUUGUGUAUAAAUGCCACAUUUUUUUUUAUCCAUUCAUCUAUUGAAGGGCAUCUAGGUUGGUUCCACAGUCUAGCUAUUGUGAAUUGUGCCACUAUGAUCAUUGAUGUGGCAGUAUCCCUAUAGUACGCUCUUUUAAGAUCCUCAGGGAAUAGUCCAAGAAGGGCGAUAGCGGGGUCAAAUGGUGGUUCCAUUCCCAGCUUUCCCAGGAAUCUCCAUACAGCUUUCCAAAUUGGCCGCACCAAUUUGCAGUCCCACCAGCAAUGUACAAGUGUACCCUUUUCUCCACAUCCUCGCCAGCACUUAUUGUUGUUUGACUUCAUAAUGGCUGCCAAUCUUACUGGAGUGAGAUGGUAUCUUAGGGCGGUUUUGAUUUGCAUUUCUCUGACUGCUAGAGAUGGUGAGCAUUUUUUCAUGUGCUUGUUGAUUGAUUGUAUGUCCUCCUCUGAGAAGUGUCUGUUCAGGUCCUUGGCCCAUUUGUUGAUUGGGUUAUUUGUUAUCUUAUUGUUUNUUGGGAUUUUGAUUGGCAUUGCAUUAAACCAAUAGAGAACUUUGAGUAAUAUUGCCAUUUUGAUGAUGUUAGUUCUGCCUAUCCAUGAACAGGGUAUAUUUUUCCAUCUUCUAAGAUCUUCUUCUAUUUCUCUCUUUAGGGUUCUGUAGUUUUCAUUGUAUAAAUCUUUCACCUCUUUUGUUAGGUUGAUUCCCAAGUAUUUUUUUUUUUUUUGAGGAUAUUGUGAAUGGAGUGGUUUUCCUCAUUUCCAUUUCAGAAGUUUUGUUGCUGAUAUACAGGAAUGCCUUUGAUUUAUGCGUGUUGAUUUUAUAUCCUGCCACUUUGCUGAAUUCAUUUAUUAGCUCUAGUAGUUUCUUUGUAGACCCUUUUGGGUCUGUUAGAUAUAGUAUCAUAUCAUCCGCAAAUAGUGAUAAUUUAAGUUCUUCUUUUCCUAUUUUUAUGCCUUUAAUUUCUUUUGUCUGUCUAAUUGCUCUGGCUAGUAUUUCAAGAACUAAAUUGAAUAGAAGUGGUGAGAGAGGGCAUCCCUGUCUUGUUCCAGAUUUUAGAGGGAAUGCCUUCAGUUUUUCUCCAUUUAGAAUGAUGCUAGCCUGAGGCUUAGCAUAUAUAGCUUUUACAAUGUUGAGGUAAGUUCCUGUUAUCCCUAGUUUUUCUAGUGUUCUGAACAUAAAGGGAUGCUGUACUUUGUCAAAUGCUUUUUCUGCAUCUAUCGAGAUGAUCAUGUGGUUUUUAUAUUUAAGUCUAUUGAUGUGGUGAAUAACAUUUAUUGAUUUCCGUAUAUUGAACCAGCCUUGCAUCCCAGGGAUGAAUCCUACUUGAUCAUGUUGCACAAUUUUUUUGAUAUGCUUUUGUAUUCGAUUCACCAGGAUUUUAUUGAGGAUUUUUGCAUCUAAGUUCAUUAGAGAUAUUGGUCUGUAGUUUUCUUUCUUUGAAGUGUCUUUGUCUGGUUUCGGGAUCAGGGUGAUGUUGGCCUCAUAGAAUGAAUUUGGAAGAGCUCCUUCUUUUUCUAUUUCUUGAAAUAGCUUGAAAAGUAUUGGUAUUAAUUCUUCUUUGAAGGUUUUGUAAAACUCCGCUGUAUACCCAUCCGGUCCAGGGCUUUUCUUGGUUGGUAGUCUUUUGAUGGCUUCUUCUAUUUCUUCCUUUGUUAUUGGUCUGUUUAAAUUGUGUGUGUCUUCCUGACUCAAUCUGGGCAGAUCAUAUGACUUAAGAAAUUUAUCGAUAUCUUCACUAUCUUCUAUUUUAUUGGAAUAUAGGGUUUCAAAAUACUUUCUAAUUAUCUUCUGUAUUUCUAUAGUGUCCGUUGUGAUGUUGCCUUUUUCAUCCCAUAUGUUAGUAAUUUGAGUUCUCUCUCUUCUUCUCUUCGUUAGCAUGGCUACGGGUCUAUCGAUCUUAUUUAUUUUUUCAAAGAACCAACUUUUAGUUUUAUCAAUUUUUUCAAUGUUUUUUUUUUUUGUUUCAGUUUCAUUGAUUUCAGCUCUUAUUUUAAUUAUUUCUUGUCUUCUACUACUUUUGCUGUUGUUUUGCUCUUCCUUUUCUAGGGUUUUGAGAUGAAGUGUGAGUUCAUUUAUUUGUUGGUUAUUCCUUUUUUUGAGGAAUGAAACCCAGGAAAUGAAUUUCCCUCUUAAAACUGCUUUCAUUGUGUCCCAUAGAUUCUGGUAUGUUGUGUCUGUAUUGUCGUUUAUCUCUAAGAAUUUUUUGAUUUCCUCCUUUAUGUCUUCUGUAACCCAUUGAUCAUUCAGUAACAUAUUGUUCAUUUUCCAGGUGAUGCAGGAUUUUUCCUUCCUUCUUUUAUCAUUGAUUUCCAGUUUCAUUCCAUUAUGAUCAGAUAAGGUGCAUGGUAUUAUCUCCACACCUUUAUAUUUACUCGGAGUUGCCCUAUGGCAUAAUAUAUGGUCUAUCUUUGAGUAAGAUCCAUGUGCUGCUGAGAAGAACGUGUAUCCACUUGAUGAUGGUUGAUAUAUUCUAUAUAUGUCAGUUAAAUCUAGGUUAUUGAUUGUGUAAUUGAGUUCUAGAGUUUCUUUAUUCAGCUUUUGUCUGGAGGAUCUGUCUAAUGGAGAGAGCAGUGUGUUGAAGUCACUCAUAAUUAUUGUGUUGUGGUCUAUUUGACUCUUGAACUUGAGGAGAGUUUGUUUUAUGUACGUUGCAGCACCAUUGUUUGGUGCAUACAUAUUGAUAAUUGUUAUGUCUUGUUGGUGGAUGGUUCCUUUUAACAGUAUGUAGUGUCCUUCUUUAUCCCUUUUGAUUAACUUAGGUUUGAAGUUGAUUUUAUUCGAUAUGAGUAUGGCCACUCCUGCUUGCUUCCGAGGGCCAUGUGAGUGGUAUGAUUUUUCCCAAGCUUUCACCUUCAGCCUGUAUAUGUCUUUUCCUAUCAUAUGAGUCUCCUGAAGGCAGCAUAUUAUUUGAUCUGUUUUUUUAAUCCAGGUUACUAGCCUAUGUCUCUUGAUUGGUGAAUUUAAGCCAUUAACAUUUAACGUUACUAUUGAAAUAUGGUUUGUACUUCCAGUCAUCUUUAUUUAUUUAUUUAUUUAUUUUAGUUUGGCUAGUUUUUCCUCUUUGGCUAUUUUUCUCCCCCUUUACUGAGAUACUUCCCACUAUUUGUUUUGGGUGCUAUUUUUUCAAUUCUUCUUCUUGCAGUAUUUUACUCAAAAUGCCUUGCAGUGCUGGUUUUCUGGCUGCGAAUUCUUUUAACUUUUGUUUAUCAUGAAAUAUUUUAAUUUUAUUGUCGAAUCUGAAGCUUAAUUUUGCUGGAUACAGUAUUCUUGGUUGGAAUCCUUUAUUUUUCAGUGUUUGAAAUACGUUGUUCCAGGAUCUUCUCGCUUUCAACGUCUGUGAUGAAAAAUUAGCCGUUAACUCUAAUUGGUUUACCUCUGAAUGUAAUCUGCCUCCUUUCUCUCGUAGCUUUUAAUAUUCUCUCCUUGUUCCGUAUGUUGGAUAUCUUCAUAAUUAUGUGUCUUGGAGUUGGUCUAUUACGGUUUUGAAUGUUUGGGGUCCUGUAGGCUUCCAGGAUUUGGCAAUCCAUUCCAUCUUUCAUAUCUGGGAAGUUUUCUAGGAUUAUUUCAUUUAAUAGGUUGUCCAUUCCUUUGGUUUGAACCUCUAUACCUUCAUGAAGGCUUGGCUAGAGACCUCUUCCUAGAGUCCCUGCGCCUCAGAGGCUGGUCGCCAGGUCGCGCGGGCCGGAGCCGCCCCUGCCGGUCGCCGGGUCGCGCGGGCUGGGGCCUCCACGCGGGCAGGCGGCAGAUGGUCGCUGGGUCGCGUGGGCGGCUGGCGAAUCUGGACCUCCAGGCUGCAUGGAGGAGAUUUCACUCUUCUGGGGCAAACUGUCACCUUCAAAAAUCUUACUAAUUCCCGGCCGGUCUCUCUUCAGUGGAAUUUUGCUAGAAGUUUCUCAGCAGGUAGAAUCUAAUCAUAUUAAUGCGUCUCUCUGACCCCGUUAUUGUGGAGGUAUUGAAAGCACUGCCUCCCCGCCGGUCGCCAUGUUGGAUCUCCCCUUUUCUUUUCUUCUGCUAGGAUAUGAAAAGUGGAUCUGUGAUUGCUAUUGUGGACCAUGAGUUCAAGCAACAUCCUGUAGAAAGGCUCUCAAUAGAGUGUGCAUACCUGAGUACUCAAUGAAGCAGGACUAAUCCAUCAGUGAGGCUAGCCUGCCUCACUCUCUAAAUCUUUUACAUGGAAUAAUCUAACUUUCCUCUUGUAAAAGUCACCAUAAUAUCUCUAUCUUACUUAUGAUUCAUCAUUAGCAUUAUAUCCCCAAACCCUUCAACUUUCAACUCAAGUACAUUAUUUUACACAAUAUGUGUACGUUAUCUAUAGCACUAAGUUCUGGGGAUUCUCUGUUGAAUCAUCCAUGAAGUCUUGCUGUGGUACUUAACUUUUUUUUGCUUCUCCCAAAGUUAUCCCAUGGCAGCAUAGCUCAGAAGAAUCUCUAAGAGAAGACAUUAAAAUAGAAAUAGGAAAUGGAAGUUUAGGGUAAAGCCCAGAAAAAUUAAACUAAAAUAAAUUUGGUGUAUUACAUUAAUUCAUUUCUUAAUAUAUAAGAUAUUUAAGCUAUAUAUUUAUAUAUUCAUUUCAGUAUAGUUAUAGUUUAAUCACUACUGAUUUUCUACUCAUAAGUUUCUCAAUAGGAAAUUCCCUUUUAAUUUUCUCUUUGAGUAUUGACUAGGUUUCCAUAUAUUAAUAAUCUUUUGUUUAUUUAUUUAUAACUAUACUGAUUUAAUCAAGAUAACAUGGCCUGUACUAUCUCUACUUUAAAAAAAUAAUUAGGGUUUUCUUUAUUGUCAAUGAUGUGAUUAAUUUUUGCAAAUGUUUAAUAGACAUGAGAUAAAAUCCAUUGUUCUAUGAGUGGAAGACUAUAUAUUUCUUAGUUAAAUAUUUUGUUUAUAUUUUUUAGCUCUUCCCUGGCUUUUUUACUUUUUAAUUAAAAAAAAUAUUGUAUUUUCUAUAACUGUCUAACUCUCAAAGAGAUAUACUGGAAUUUCCCACUGCAAUACAUUCAUUUCCCCUUUCUAAUUUUAUUUGCUUUAUUUAUUGUACUGAACACCAAUUAAUAGAAAUAUGGUUUUGUUUUUUAAUUUUAACAUUACAUAAAGCAAUGGUUUUCUUUUUGUGUUAGUCUUGAUAUAUGUAAAGAAUUACUUCUGAUUGACUCAUCUUAUUUUAAUAACUAUUACCAUUCCAUCCAAGCCUUCCUUUCCAAUCUUGAUUUCUAAUCUUUUAUUGUUACCUCAUAUUUUAUACAUAUGUAUGUAUGUAUAUAUGUAUAAUACAUAUAUAAUGAAUUUGGAAUAUAUAUAUGGCAUAUACAAAAUACUAUAUGUAUUUUUUUUAUCUAUAUGCAAUGCAAACUUCAUAAAAUCAUGUUUUAACCUAUUUUGUGAAUGGGAGAGUUGGGAAUCAAACCCAGAUGCUGUACCACUGAGCUGUAUCCACAGCCAUAUUUUAACUUUGUAAUCCAGUCCAAUAUGCUUUUUAAAGGCAAAUUCAAUGUAAUCAUAUCUAGUCUAUGACUGACAUAUGCUAUUCUUAGUUUGUAGUAUCAGUUGUACAGAAUGAUGGCAACAGUACUUCAUAAUGCACUGUAUGUUUCAAAAUUGCUUUAAAGUUAGAUUUCAAAUGUUUCUACCACACACACACACUCACACACACACACAAGUACACACACAAAUAAAAUGGUAUAUGAGGUAAUAGAUUUGUUAAUAAGUUUGACUUUAUCAUUUCACCAUGUAUACAUAUAUCAAAACAACACAUUUUAUUUGAUAAAUAUAUAUUAUUAUUAGUUAUCUAUUAAAUAAAACUAAAAUGAAAAUGUUUUAUUAAAUAAAAAGUGAAAUAAAAACUUUCUAUUUAAAAUUAUAUACUUCCUUUUUCUCUUCGUCAUAAUUUCCACUUUUGCCCCCUUUAUCUCAUUUUUCCUUCCAUUAAUGGAACUAUGCCUUUUUCUAUUAUUUUAAUCAUCAUUUAUGCCUCCAGCUAUUAGUAAAACAGAUACCUACUAUUUUUCCACAGAGACAUAUUCUUCUCCAUCUAACCGUCCCAAUGUUUAAGAUUCUAUAAUGUUACUUCCUCUUCUUCCUUCCCCCUGACAUUAAUUUUAGCUCUCCUUUGUAUUCCACUCCUACCCAAAAUUUUAUGUCCUGUGUUUCAUUACAGAAUUCUACUUCAUUUUAUGAACUUAUUUACAAUAAACCCAAUAUUUUUUCAGGGUAAAAUAAAUUAAAUGCAAGUAGGAUUUCAAAUAAAAUUUUCAAAAAGGAAAACACUUUUACUCUUCUUACUCCCAGCACCAUUCAUAGUGUUUCUAUUAAAUUUUAUGUAUCUCCUUGUGUGAUUGUAAUGAACAUAUUAUCAAUAUGUGUAUAAACAUAUGAUCUUUUAUAUGAGUGAUAAUAUUCUCUUCUGUUAAUUUUUAAAAAUAUAUUUUUAGUUGUUGAUGGACCUUGAUUUUAUUCACUUAUUUAUAUGUGGUGCUUAGAAUCAAAUUCAGUGCCUCACACAUGUGAGGCAAGUGCUCUACCACUGAGCCACAACCUCAGCCCUCUUCUGUUAAUUUUUAACAUAGUGAUACACUUUGUAUUUCAAAUUCUUAAAUGACUAAUUUAGUUCAGUUUUAGGACUCAUCAAUUUUAACCUCCCCUCCAUUAUUUGAUAUUUACAUUGUUUUUCAUGAUAUACUAUUAAACAGGCAGUAUGCUCAUUUUUCUGCAUUCUGUUGCAAAUAUAUAAGAUAAAUUUUAUCAGAAAGCUAGUCUACUUCCAUAACUAUUUUUAUCCUGAAUUUACUUUUGUAUUCUGAAAUUUUUCCAAUCAACUUUAGGAUUACAUUGUAAUAUACAAAGAAGGUAUGAUAUUUUCAUUAAAAUUUAGCUAUUUCUUAGAUGGCAUGUUAGAUAUCUGUUUGCUUAAAGAGCAUUAAGGGGUGGAAAGAUGGUAGACUAGAGGGAAUCAGUGAUUUCGCCUGGGAUUCAAGCAAGGGGGAUACUGCUUCUCAGCAAGUUGGGAGACAAGGGGACUUCAUUAAAACUCAAUACUAGACAGCAAGAGUGCCUUAGAGACUUAGAAAUUUGGGGUAUAUUAAACAAGGAAAAGGGACAAAAAUUAAGCUGAGCUGCUAGUAGGAGCAGCAGAAUUAGCACAAAAGGAAGGAAAAGGUCAAGAAACAGGAAGGACAGUCUUAGUGUGGAAAAUCCUGAGAUCAAAGGAGCAGCCUGCCCGAGGCUGAUCCAGAGGCUGUGGAGCACAUAAGUUGACACAUGAAAGAUGCCACCUAUUUAAAAAUGGUCUGUGGGAAAGUGGAGGCAGAAGCCAUCAUGAGCUAACAACACUGUGCCAUCUAGCAGAUACAGGAACCAAAACUCGGACCUGGGAAAAAGGGCUGGCUCCCAUAUACAGGGUAGGCAGAUACCACCCAUGUGACCUAGACUGAGCUUGCCAAAAUAUGGAGAAAAUUGGGCAUGGAUAAUAUUUUGCUUACAAGUUGGGGAGCCUGCAGAGAAUCUGGCUUUCUCACCCUUUUGCUUCUAGGGGAUUAAUAGGACCAGCUGCAGCAGGUUGGGUGUCUGAAUAGGGGCGGGAGAGGGGAGGGGUAUAUCUGCACUCAGAAACCAACCCCAACCCAGAGCCUCCUGGAAACUGAACAGGUGGAUGUGACUAUGCUUGGGGGUGGACCACAGGAGGCCAAGAAGGGUGGUAUCCAUGAGCGGUAGAAGAAGUGAGGGACUAGCUGCCGCAUCUCAUGAGUGGAUCCCUGGAGAGACUCUCGGGAGAUCCCUGGUACAGUGUCCUAGCUUAGAUUGAUAACUGAGGGGCUUUGAGGUAUAUUGAUUUAAUAUCUUCAGAUAACUAGCCACUCAAAUAAAUCACGUGAGGCCUCAUUAAACCUAAGCCCUGCCCCCAAGACUGCCACCUACAGGAACUUAUCUCACAGAACCAAGCUGCAGCUUCACCCUGGUGUGGAGCUGACACUAUUUCCUAUCCCAACUUCAUCUUAUCACCAAGAAGGGAAGCAGAGAAAUUUUUGAACUCCAGCUGGCAUCUUGGUGAGCAACCAAAAAAAAAAAAAAAAGAAAAGAAAGAAAAGAAAAGUUUGACAGCUCGUGGCCUCUACUCUUGUAGCCAGUACAUAUCUCAAGAAGAAACGGAAGGAAAGAGUUGGACACGGCAAACACAUAUUCUCAUUAGCUAUUUUUAUCCAUUGCAGUGAAAAUGACUCCUGAAUUUCAAGAUUAUUUUUCUCUGUGUGUGCUGAAAGAUUCACAGGCAUAUAUAUAUUUAUACAUAUUUGUUUCUGUUUUCUCAUUUCCUCCAUUUUUUCAAGGUAGUUAUUUUUCCUUUCUUUUGAGAGGUAGUGUUUUUGAUUAUUAUAUUUUGGCUUUGUUUUGUUUCUUCACUGUCCUGUUCCACUUUUUACCCUCCCCCCCCCUUUUUUUCCUAACAACAAAUUCUAUUGUUCUCUCUUUCACUCUUCUUUUAAUUCAUUAUUUCUAUCUUUUCUCCUCCCCCCCAUAACUGUCACAUCAUAUACAGCUUUUGCAUGACCCACAUUCACCUAUCAAAAUUGCAAAUCCCUUUCUGCCCACCUAUCUCUUCUUUUUUCCUCUGUAUUCUUUACAUCUCUUAGCACUAAUUGGUCUGUACAAUGCCAGCCUCUAUCACUAAUGCUGUAGCAGUAAUACUGUGGAAGUCAAAUAUCCCACCUAUUAUCUGAUUUUAUGCCAGACAUAAUAUUGAUCCUUUACUGUUCUUACUGAUGGAAAUUGCUAGUCCUACCAAUUCUGUUAAUUAUCCUAAUUAGCUCUGUAGAUGUCAUAAUGGGAACAAGAACUUUAUUGUUAUACAGGUUGUUACUACUAUUUGGUUCCAAUUAACAUUAUAAAUGCCAUAAUAGGAACCAAGAACUUAGUUUAUUGUUAGAUAGGUUAUUACUAUUAUUUGGUUCCCCCUAGUCUGUGAAAAGGGACACUAGAAGUUAAUGGGGUAGAAACUCUGCUGCUUCUGAUGUAUUUGGAUAGGUGAAUAGACACACAAAUAAUAUGAAAAAGCAAUGAAACAAUCCACCCCAAACAACACAGAAUGCCUCAACAAUAGACUGCAUUGAUACCACAGUAGAGGACAUGCCAGAAAACUAAUUUAGAAAGUGCAUGCUAAACUUAUGUAUGAGGUACAAGAUGAUGCAAGGAGUGAUAUCAGAGAGAGAAUAUAAGAAGUGGAAGAUCACUUUAAUAAGGGAGUAGAGAUCCUGAAGUAGAAUUAAUCAGAAAUCCUCAAAAUGAAGGAAUAAAUAAACCAAAUUAGAAAUUUAAUGGAAAACAUUACCCAAAGAAUACACCACUUGGAAAGAGUUUCAGGCAAUGAAGACAAAGUAUAUGAUAUUGAAAAUCAAGUUGAUCAUGGAGAAAAUAAGAAACUAUAAUCAGAAUUUUAAAGACAUAAUGCGUAACAUUAAAAGGCCAAAUCUGAUUCAUAGGGAUAGAUGAAAGCUAUGAAGUACAAAUUAAAGAAUUAAAUAAUAUCAAUGAAUAUUAUAAUAUUUUCAAUGAAAUAAUGUCAGAAUUUCCCAAACCUUAAGAAUGAAAUGGAAAAUUAAAUAUAGGAGGCAUAAGUACUUCAAAUUCACAAAAUUACAGCAAACCCACUCCCAAGUCACAUUAUUAUGAAAAUACUUCACAUAGAAUGAUAGAAUUUUAAAUGCUGCUAGAAGAAAAUGACUAGUCACAUUUAGUGGUAAACCAUUCCAGCCCUCAGCUGAUUUUCAACCUAGAACCUUACAACUAGGAAGGAGGUCUUGGAAUAGUAUAUAUUAAGCUCUGAAAGAAAAUGCAUGCCAACCAAGAAUACUGUAUCCAGUAAAAUUAAGCUUCAGAAUUGAAGAUGAAGUAAAAAACUUGCAUGAUAAACAAAACUUACAAUGAGUUAACAACUAGAAAGCUUGCACUUCCAAACAUAUUCAAUAAAAUAUUUCAUAAAGAAGAAUUGGAGAAUAAAAUGAAAACCCGCAGAGAACAGAGGGAGAACUUCAUUAGAAGAAUAGUCAAGCAAAACAAAUCUAAUUCAACUUAAAAACUAGAAAUAAAAUAAUAGGAAAUAAAUAUCUCUUAAUAAUAACACUGGAUGUAAUUGGACUAAAUUUGUCAAUCAAAAGACAUAGGCUAGCAGAUUUAAUUUAAUCCAUUAAAAAACAAGACCCCAAAAUAUGCUGUCUCCAAGAGACUCAUCUCAUGGGCAAAGAUAUCCACAGACUGAAUAUGAAAGGAUAUGAAAAUAUUCUUCACAUGGAUUCAUAACAAGGGGUUUCUGUUCUAAUUAUCAGAUAAUGAUGACUUCAAGCCAAAGGUAAUUAGAAGAAACAAAAAAGAUUACUUUGUACUGCUUAAGGGAAGCAUAAAACACCAAAAAAUAACAAUUGUAAAUAUUUAUGCCCCCCAAAAUGGAGCAUCUACAUAUAUCAACUAAACUUUUCUCAAUAUAAAGAAUCAAUAGACCACAACACAAUAAAACUGGAUGACUUUAACAUGGCUGACUUAACAGUAGAUAGAUCUUCUAAACAAAAACUUUAUAAAGAAGCUACAGAACUAAAAAAUACAAUAAAUAAUUUAGACUUAACAGACUGAUAUAGAAUAUUUCAUCCACCAAUGACUGAAUACACUUUCUUCUCAGCAGUACAUGGAACAAUUUCUAAAAUAGACCACAUAUCCAGCCACAAAAUAACACUUAACAAAUACAAAAAGAGAGCUAAUACCCUGUACUCUAUCAGAUCAAAAUGGAAUGAAAUUAGAAAUCUAUGGUAAGAUAAAAAAUAGAUACUACUUUAACAAGUAGAAACUAAUUCACUAUUGAAUGAUAAAUGAAUAUCAGAAUAAAUCAUGGACAAAAUAAAAAAAAUACUUAGAAGCAAAUGAGAAUAUGGAUACAACAUAUCAAAAUCUUUGGGACACUAUGAAGAUGAUUCUAAGAGGAAAGUUCAUAGCAUUGAUCUCAUACAUUAAAAGAAUAGAAAGAUAUCAAAUAAAUAAUCUAGUGUUAUACCUCAAGUCCAAAGGGGAAAAAACAGAAUCAAAACUGAAAUCAAUAGAAGAUAGAAAAUAAUUAAAAUCAGAGCUGAAAUCAAUGAAAUUGAGAUUUUAAAAAAUGCUAAAAAUUAACAAAUCAGACUGUUGGUUCUUUAAAAGAAUUAACAAAAAUUGAUAAUCCCUUAGCUAAGCUAACCAAAAGAAAGGGAGAAAACUCCAAUUGUUAAAAUUCAUAAUGAAAAAUGAAACACCACCAUAAACACUACUGAAAUACAGAGUAUAAUUAGAAACUAUUUAAAAAUAUAUACCUGAAUGAGAUAGAAAAUCAUGAAGACAUUGAGAAAUUCCUAGAAACAUAGGACCUAACCAAAUUGAACCAGAAUACAGAAAUUUUAAAUAGAGCAAUUUCAAGUAAAGAAAUUGAGGUAGCCAUCAAAAGCCUACCAAGAAAGAAAAGCCCAAGACUAGAUAGAUUCUCAGCAGAGUUCUACUAGACCUUUAAAGAAGAACUAAUACCAUUCUUCCUCAAAUUAUUUCAUGAAAUAGGAAAUGAGGGAACUCUUCCAAACACUUUCGAUGAAGCUAGUAUCACCCUAAUAUCAAAACCAGAAAAAGACACACCAAAGAAAGAAAAUAUCAGACCAAUAUCUUUGAUGAACACAGAUGCAAUAAUUCUUAGUAAAAGACUGCUAAAUCGCAUACAACAACACAUGAAAAAGUGCAUCAUGAUCAAAUAGGUUUCAUCCUAGGAAUGCAAGAUUGGUUCAACAUAAGGAAAUCAAUAAAUGUAAUUCAGCACAUCAAUAAACUUAAAGACAAUAAUCACAACAUAAUCUCAAUAGAUGAAAAAAAUUGACAGAAUACAACAUCCAUUCAUGCUUAAAACACUAGAAAAAAUAGGGAUAGAAGGAACAUACCUAAACAUGGCAAAAGCUAUAUAUGACACACCCAAGGCCAACAUCCUUCUAAAUGGGGAAAAACUUAAAGCAUUCCCUCUAAAAAAACGAAGAAGACAGGGAUGUCCACUUUUACCAUUUCUAUUCAAGAGAGUCCUUGAAACUUUGGCCAGAGCAAUUAGGCAGAAGUAAGAAAGUAAAGGGAUAUAAAUAGUAAAUGAAAAACUAAAACAUCUAUUUGCCAAUGACAUGAUUCUAUAUAUAGAAGACCCAAAGAAUUCGACCAGAAAACUAGAACUCAUAAAUGAAUUCAGUAAAGUAGCAGAAUACAAAAUUAACACCCAGAAAUCAAUUAUGUUUUAUAUUUAGUGUCAAAUCAACAGAAGAGAAAUUGGAAAAUCCAUCACAUACAUGAUAGCCUAAACAAAACAAAGCAAAACACAAACUUGAGAAUCAAUCUACCAAAAUAGGAAUACAACCUGUACAAUGAAAACUACAAAACACUAAAGAAAGAAAUUGAGGAAGACCUUAGAAGAUCUAUAAACCUUCCAUGUUCUUGGUUAGGCAGAAUCAAUUUUGUUAUAAUGGCCACACAACCAAAAGCAUUGUGCAGCGUCAAUAAAAUUCCCAUCAAAAUUCCAAUUACAUUCUUCAAAAAAAAAAGAAAUAGAAGUCACGAAUUCAUCUGGAAAAUUAGAAACCCUGAAUAGCCAAAAUAAUCCUUAGCAAGAAAAGUGAAGCAGGAGGCAUCACAAUUUCAGACCUUAAAUUAUACUACUACUAGAGUAACAGAAACAGCAUGGUAUUGGCACUAAAACAGAUAAGAAGAACAGAAUAGAAUACAUAAAGACAAAUUUGCAAAAAAACACAGCUGUAUCAUACUAAAUAGAAGCACCAAAACAUACAUUGGAGAAAAAAUAGCCUCUUAAACAAAUGGUGCUGGGAAAACUGGAAAUCCAUAUGUAGUAAAAUGAAAUUUAGUCCUCAUUUUUCACCCUGCACAAAACUCAAUCCAGAGCAUCAAAAACCUAGGAAUUAGACCCAUAAACUGUACAUACUAGAAGAAAAUGUAGGCCCAACUGACUUCCCUAGCAAGAAGUAAAACCAAUAAUCAAUAAAUGGGAUGGAAUCAAACUAAAAAGCUUCUUCACAGCAAAGGAAACAAUCAAGAAUGUGAAGACAAGAGAAAAUCUUUGCCAUCUACACCUCAGAUGGGGUGUUAAUUUCCAGGAUAUACAAAGUAUUCAAAAAAUUUAACACCAAGAAACCACAAAUAAUCAAAUUAAUAAAUGGGCAAAGGCACUGAACAGACACUUCUCAGAAGAAGAAAUAGAAGUUGUCAACAUAUAUAUGAAAAAAUGUUCAACAUCUCUAGCAAUUAGAGAAAUGCAAAUUAAAACUACACUGGAAUUUCAUCUCACUCCAGUCAGAAUGGCAAUUAUCAAGAAAACAAGUAACAAAAAAAUGUUGCUGAGGAUGUGAGGAAAAAGGUACACUUUCAAUUGCUGCUGGGAUUGAAAAUUGGUGCAAUCAUUAUGGAAAGCAGUAUGGAGACUCCUUAGAAAACUUGGAAUAGAACAACCAUUGACACAGUUAUACCACUCCUUGGUUUAUGCCCAAAGGAUUUAAAAUCAACAUACUUUAGUGACAUAGCCACAUCAAUGUUUAUAGCAGCUCAAUUUACAAUGGCUAAGCUAUGGAGCCAACCUAGGUGUCCUUCAACAGAUAAAUGGAUAAAGAAAAUGUGGUAUAUAUACACACAUUAUUUUAAGGUUGAGAAUUAGUGGAUAGAAUUCUCUUGUCAAACACAUAUGAUGAAACUUGGAGAAUGAAAGUAAUAUGAGUCUUUAAAACUGAAAUCUUACAGUGCCCCCAAUGUAUCUCUUUUCAAAGGAUGUACAUUAAAAUGUGAUCUAAUGACACUUAAAAAGUCUUUUAAAUGUUUUCCAUACUGUUAAACUAUAAUUAUGAAUAUAAACAGGUUAAAUGUGAUAUAUAUAUAUAUAUAUAUUCUCAGUGAUAUAUAUAUAUGUGAUAUAUAUAUAUAUAUAUAUAUAUAUAUAUAUAUAUAUAUAUUCUCAGUCAUUAAGAAGCAUAUCUUUCUGACAUUUUCUGGUAAAUGGAUGAGACUGGAGAAUAUCAUGCUAAGUUAAAUAAGGCAACCUCCCAAAAGCUAAAGGUAGAAUGUUUUCACUGACAUGUGGAAGCUAAACCUCAAUAAGAGGGAGAAGGUAAGAAUAGAUAGUCAGUAGAUUAGACAAAUGGAAGGAAGGGAAGGGGGUGGAAAGGAAAAGGAAAGACAGUGGAAUGAAUCUGAAAUAAUUUUCCUAUGUACAUAUAUGAAUACACCAUGGUGAAUCCCAACAUCAUGUGCAUCCAUAAAAAUGGGAUCCUAAUUAGAAUAAGAUAUAGUCCAUGCUUAUAUAAUUUUAUCAAAAUAAUUUCUACUAUUAUGUUAAAUAGAACCAAGAAAAUAGUUAAAUAAAAAUCAUUAAAUUCUCUUAUAGGAAAAACAAAAAUGUCACUUAUUUAAAUAUUUUUUAUUUGUUAACUUGUGGAAUUUGAAAUUAAAUCAGAAUAAAACCUGAAAUUUCCCAGUGGAAAUAUUGCUAAAAUCAAAACAUUAUUCUUGCUAGGCCUUUUCUUUUUAGGAGCCUAUAAAUAAUAACUUUAUAAACUGACUGGUUAGGAAUCAUGACAUUUUUUUGUACAUCCCAUGCACAAAUAAAUGUUGAGGUAAAUGUCUGAUAUUUCUCACUUUUAAUCAAUCUCUUGAUAAAAAUUACAAUUCAUUCACAAAUGAAAACCUGGUUACAUUUGUAAUUAUACUUUAAUGAUAUGGAAAAUUUUUAAAAGACUUUUUCAUUGUCAUUCAUCACAUAUUUUAAUGCACAUUCUGUGAAAAGAGAUAUAAUGGUGGCACUGUAAGAUUUCAAUUGUAAAGACUCAAAUAUUACUUUCAUUCUUCGUGUUUCAUCACAUUUGUUUGACCAGAGGAUUCUAUAUACUAUUUCUCAACCUUAAAAUAAAAACAAGUAAAAUUAUGUUAUUCAGCAGGGACAAAAUGUAAAUCAUUUUUACUUUCUAUUUUGUAUCAACUUACAUACAACAUCAGCAUGCAGCUUCACCUCCCCACCCAGUUUUAUAAACUAAAAUACACAAGAUUUAAGUUGAAUGCCAGUCAUUAUUGCUAGUAAAAAAUGAAGUCUUUUGCACACAGUUGUGUUCAAAAGAAUGGUAUUAUUAUAAUGAAUUUUCUUAGAUAUUUGAAGUAUUUGGGUAGUUCAAUAGAAAUGUGCUCCUUGAAAAAAUUUACAUAUUUUAUGAAAAAUAUUUUUUUAUGUAAAGUGAAUUCUAGUUAUCAAAAUAGAGAAAUUAUUUGCAUGCUUGUUAAAGCAUAGCCAUUAAUGAAAAAAAUCUCUUUUAACAGCUAGGUAUAUAAAAUUACACAUAAUCUAAAUAAACCAUUAUGAUAACAUGCCUGGGCUUUCCAAAUCAAAUGGGAAAUUUGAAAUAAAAUAAUGAAGCAUAUCCAAAAAAACAUGAGAGUCUUCCCAGACCAAUUAAGUAAAAAGUGUCUAACAAAGUUUGAAAAAUAUGAAAGAAAUUUUGAAAUGUUCAACAAAAAAAGAAGGAAAUUCACAUUUCUAAUAUGCUACUGAUAUUUAACUCCCUUUAUAUUAUAAUUUAAGUUUCUCUACACAUUGAUUAGACUUUUGAUCUUAAUUAUAAGAAUUGUAUAAUAGUAAGUGUACACUUAAAAUUUUAUAAUUUAAUUGUGCAUAUAGAUUUAAGAAAGCUUUCUCAUUAAUUAGGUAGGAAAAGUAGUAUGGUAGCUCUGAAAACAAACUUCUCAAAUGAGUAAUUGCUAUCUGAUUUUCUGUGGGAAAACCAACCUAAAGUAACAAUCUUUGUUGAUGCUUGCUCAGAUCAGGUGGACCAAAACAGCAGGAAGUGCCUCUGACAGAUUCCAAGACUCCAGUGUCUUCAAUGAAACUUUGAGGAUUACAAAUAUUCAGCGACACCAAGGAGGCCGAUAUUACUGUAAAGCAGAGAAUGGUUUGGGGUCCCCAGCCAUAAAGUCAAUCAGAGUGGAUGUAUACUGUAAGUACAUUUCCCAGAAAACUGUAAGCCCAACACAGA